rnacentral:lncRNA from 1 species
GUGUGUGGUUAACCGGCACACUAACUUGGACUUAACAAGGUAGGUAAAGGGUGACUUAAUAUUUAUCAUAGUAUCGAUGGAGCGUGUGUGGUUAACCGGCACAUCGAUUGAGGGGUAAUUUAUUAAGGGUACCAAGUGAUUUGCAUGGUUACUUCACACCUUGUUUUGUGAUCCUCGGCAUCCCAGUCACAAAACCUGAAGGGCACACUCGAGAUUGAAACAUGCCUUUGAAAAGUUCAAUGAAUCUCAAAGAUCUAGGAGUUUCAAAACCAAUUAAAACCUAAUAAUACAUUUUGUUUAUCUUGGUGGAAAUUGGUGAAUCGUCAUUCACCUACCUUCAAAUAUUUUAUAGCUUGGAUUACGGCAUCCCUCUUCUAAGUUAUAAAAUAGUUUGUUGGGUCCUAGGCUUAAUAUUUCAUAUUGGGUGUCAUAUUAAGGACUUUAGAUCAACUAUCUUGAAUAUCUCCCAAAAGAUGUCUGGUUUAGACAUUUAUGAUCUUUCCAAAUCUCUUGAAACAAGCUUCCUAAAUGAAGAUGAUGUCCCAUGGAAAUCAUACUUCUUUCACCUCCUCCAAUUAUUCUCCCUAACUCACAAGUUCUUGAAAAGUUUAAGGUCACUCAAGCCCUAUUGGCAAAUAAAGGUCUAUGUGUGAUCACAUCUUGGAGAUGAAGUCACAUACUGACAAGCCGGGAGAGUUGGGUGUCAAAGUCUUACGAAAGUUAGUGGUUCAAUCACUUUCUAAGUCGCAUAGUGAGUUCCUUGGUACUCCUAUGAAACAGACUAUGAUAAGACCCUUAAUGAUCUUAUCUAUUUGGUUGGUGCUGCUAAAUUAGAAAUGAUUUAGUGUACUAGUAAAGAAAAGUUGAUUAGGAGAUCAACUUCCCAAAACUUUAUGGACAGGGACAAUAGUGACACAGGAAAUCCAGAAAAGCAUUCUCUUCCCAAUGGAAAGGGAUCGGCCAUAGUCAACUCGGUUGACCAAAUGGUAAAUAGAAAGACUAAGUCUGAAAUAGUCCCAUGUACUAUUACCUAAGGGCCGAUAUGGUCCUAUUGCCAAAAGGAAAGGGCAUUGGUUGCGAAGCUGUCAAUUUUACCUGAAAGAUCAUAAGGCUAGUAAAGUUAAUCAGUUUGACUCUAUUUCAGGUAAGGUCCACUAUCUAACUCGGUUAAGUUUCUAUUUUGAGAUUCUUAUUACAAGAUGUGACUGGGUCACAUGUUGAUGUUUAAGAAUCAAAGGAAAAAGUGAAGGAAACUUAAAGAAAGAGUAUGUUGAAUCUGACCGCCAAGAUGGAUUUCUAUCGCUUGAUUGAUGAUUGGAUUCUUGAGCUACUCUUAGGAGUUAUGAUAGAUUGCUAGGAAACAAGUAAUAACAUAGUUUUCAUUUCAAGUUACAUUGUAAGGAAAAACUUUUUUCCGCAUUUUAAAAUAAAUAAAAGUUUGUUUUACUUUAUUUUUAUCUCCUUACAAUGGCAUUCAUGAAAACUUGAUGUUUGUAUGUUUAUAGCAAUAUUGGAAAUAUGAAUUUGAUUCGUUCAUUUGUGGUAGUGUCUAAAUUUACCAAAUAAGGAAAGAUUCUCAUCACCCAAGUUUCAAUUGGACCGAAACUUGGAAUCAUGCAAGUUGUAUAGUAUGAUGAAUGAGAACUUUCGAGCAUUGGAAAAAUUAAGACUAACUACUUGUUCACAUGGAUGUGUGAGUCAAGAGAAGGACUAAGGGAUCAAGUACACUUUCUUGUGCACUUGUCAAAGUCCACCACAAAAGAUGGAUAAGACUAUUCGUCAUGAUUUACUAAGGUUUAGUAAAUAUGAUUAUACUUACAAGCUUAAGUAUAAUUCUGAAACAUUGGAAAAUUUUCAAUGUAUGACAGAACGAAUAAGAAGAAUCAAAUUAGGCAGAAGGAUAAAAGUUUCUCAAAUCUGAAAAGAUGGGAGAGUACUUUAGUAUCAUGUUUUAAGGUCAUCUUAAUGAUUUUGAGACCUUAUCACAAUUCAUCCUCUAAGUACAUUCUGAUAGUUAAGAAGAGGAGUUAUGAAUUGUUGAAGUGGUUAAAUCAAGAAGAUGAUUCAUACUUCAUUCCAAAACAAUUCAUAGAGUUAUACUCUAAGAUUGUAACUUGAGUGACAUGUCUUAAAGAAGGUUUAAAACACUUGUCAAAUGUAAGAGUAAAAGUUUUCUACUCUUGUACAUUUGAAAUUGGUAAGUUGUGAUGUUUUGGAUAAAACAAAGACCAACUAAGGCNNNNNNNNNNNNNNNNNNNNNNNNNNNNNNNNNNNNNNNNNNNNNNNNNNNNNNNNNNNNNNNNNNNNNNNNNNNNNNNNNNNNNNNNNNNNNNNNNNNNNNNNNNNNNNNNNNNNNNNNNNNNNNNNNNNNNNNNNNNNNNNNNNNNNNNNNNNNNNNNNNNNNNNNNNNNNNNNNNNNNNNNNNNNNNNNNNNNNNNNNNNNNNNNNNNNNNNNNNNNNNNNNNNNNNNNNNNNNNNNNNNNNNNNNNNNNNNNNNNNNNNNNNNNNNNNNNNNNNNNNNNNNNNNNNNNNNNNNNNNNNNNNNNNNNNNNNNNNNNNNNNNNNNNNNNNNNNNNNNNNNNNNNNNNNNNNNNNNNNNNNNNNNNNNNNNNNNNNNNNNNNNNNNNNNNNNNNNNNNNNNNNNNNNNNNNNNNNNNNNNNNNNNNNNNNNNNNNNNNNNNNNNNNNNNNNNNNNNNNNNNNNNNNNNNNNNNNNNNNNNNNNNNNNNNNNNNNNNNNNNNNNNNNNNNNNNNNNNNNNNNNNNNNNNNNNNNNNNNNNNNNNNNNNNNNNNNNNNNNNNNNNNNNNNNNNNNNNNNNNNNNNNNNNNNNNNNNNNNNNNNNNNNNNNNNNNNNNNNNNNNNNNNNNNNNNNNNNNNNNNNNNNNNNNNNNNNNNNNNNNNNNNNNNNNNNNNNNNNNNNNNNNNNNNNNNNNNNNNNNNNNNNNNNNNNNNNNNNNNNNNNNNNNNNNNNNNNNNNNNNNNNNNNNNNNNNNNNNNNNNNNNNNNNNNNNNNNNNNNNNNNNNNNNNNNNNNNNNNNNNNNNNNNNNNNNNNNNNNNNNNNNNNNNNNNNNNNNNNNNNNNNNNNNNNNNNNNNNNNNNNNNNNNNNNNNNNNNNNNNNNNNNNNNNNNNNNNNNNNNNNNNNNNNNNNNNNNNNNNNNNNNNNNNNNNNNNNNNNNNNNNNNNNNNNNNNNNNNNNNNNNNNNNNNNNNNNNNNNNNNNNNNNNNNNNNNNNNNNNNNNNNNNNNNNNNNNNNNNNNNNNNNNNNNNNNNNNNNNNNNNNNNNNNNNNNNNNNNNNNNNNNNNNNNNNNNNNNNNNNNNNNNNNNNNNNNNNNNNNNNNNNNNNNNNNNNNNNNNNNNNNNNNNNNNNNNNNNNNNNNNNNNNNNNNNNNNNNNNNNNNNNNNNNNNNNNNNNNNNNNNNNNNNNNNNNNNNNNNNNNNNNNNNNNNNNNNNNNNNNNNNNNNNNNNNNNNNNNNNNNNNNNNNNNNNNNNNNNNNNNNNNNNNNNNNNNNNNNNNNNNNNNNNNNNNNNNNNNNNNNNNNNNNNNNNNNNNNNNNNNNNNNNNNNNNNNNNNNNNNNNNNNNNNNNNNNNNNNNNNNNNNNNNNNNNNNNNNNNNNNNNNNNNNNNNNNNNNNNNNNNNNNNNNNNNNNNNNNNNNNNNNNNNNNNNNNNNNNNNNNNNNNNNNNNNNNNNNNNNNNNNNNNNNNNNNNNNNNNNNNNNNNNNNNNNNNNNNNNNNNNNNNNNNNNNNNNNNNNNNNNNNNNNNNNNNNNNNNNNNNNNNNNNNNNNNNNNNNNNNNNNNNNNNNNNNNNNNNNNNNNNNNNNNNNNNNNNNNNNNNNNNNNNNNNNNNNNNNNNNNNNNNNNNNNNNNNNNNNNNNNNNNNNNNNNNNNNNNNNNNNNNNNNNNNNNNNNNNNNNNNNNNNNNNNNNNNNNNNNNNNNNNNNNNNNNNNNNNNNNNNNNNNNNNNNNNNNNNNNNNNNNNNNNNNNNNNNNNNNNNNNNNNNNNNNNNNNNNNNNNNNNNNNNNNNNNNNNNNNNNNNNNNNNNNNNNNNNNNNNNNNNNNNNNNNNNNNNNNNNNNNNNNNNNNNNNNNNNNNNNNNNNNNNNNNNNNNNNNNNNNNNNNNNNNNNNNNNNNNNNNNNNNNNNNNNNNNNNNNNNNNNNNNNNNNNNNNNNNNNNNNNNNNNNNNNNNNNNNNNNNNNNNNNNNNNNNNNNNNNNNNNNNNNNNNNNNNNNNNNNNNNNNNNNNNNNNNNNNNNNNNNNNNNNNNNNNNNNNNNNNNNNNNNNNNNNNNNNNNNNNNNNNNNNNNNNNNNNNNNNNNNNNNNNNNNNNNNNNNNNNNNNNNNNNNNNNNNNNNNNNNNNNNNNNNNNNNNNNNNNNNNNNNNNNNNNNNNNNNNNNNNNNNNNNNNNNNNNNNNNNNNNNNNNNNNNNNNNNNNNNNNNNNNNNNNNNNNNNNNNNNNNNNNNNNNNNNNNNNNNNNNNNNNNNNNNNNNNNNNNNNNNNNNCAAAAAUCGAACUUCUCGCGGGCAGAGCUUCGACUCGGGAACCGCACUUCUCGGGAUCUUCGGGAUCUCGGGACUUGCCUCGGGGCUCGAGAAUAAUACCGGGGCUUCGAGGUAUUUCUGGCACGCAAAUCAAUGCAAAACGGGAGAGAAAAGAGAGAAAAUAGCAAAAGAACUCGGCUGCCCUCGCAUCCUAUUUAUAGGAGGCUGGAGCCUCGGACUACGCGGGGCGUACGCUAGUACGUGGGGCGUACUGGUCCGAAUUCGUCACUGCGUUCGUCAUCCGAAGCCACUUGCUGCGAGUGUCGACAUCUUCGGUGUACACGGGGCGUACAUGAGUAUGCGGGGUGUACUUCGGAUCGGAUCGCUGACUCCCCUUCGGAUAAUGCCGGAUUUUCCAAUUAAAAUUAAAUACAAAUUAUUUAAUAAACUUCGGAAGUUCAUAUCUUCUUCAUACGAACUCCGUUUUCGACGUUCUUUAUAUCCACGUGAAGGUGAGACUANNNNNNNNNNNNNNNNNNNNNNNNNNNNNNNNNNNNNNNNNNNNNNNNNNNNNNNNNNNNNNNNNNNNNNNNNNNNNNNNNNNNNNNNNNNNNNNNNNNNNNNNNNNNNNNNNNNNNNNNNNNNNNNNNNNNNNNNNNNNNNNNNNNNNNNNNNNNNNNNNNNNNNNNNNNNNNNNNNNNNNNNNNNNNNNNNNNNNNNNNNAUCUCAAAUUGAGUAUUUCAGGCUGCAUACCGCUAAGCCGAAACUUCGAUAAAUCAUAACUUCCUCAUACGAAGUCAGAUUUGGGCGUUCUAUAUAUAUUCGGAAACCUCGUUUCAACUACUACAACAUCAACCAAAGAUAUCAAGUUUAUUUUACACUUUAAUUUUGACGCUUAUUUUUAUUCUUAAUUAAUCAAUCCCCAUAAUUAAGCAAUUAAGCACAAAACACAUAAUACUCAAAUAAUACACUUAUAUUAUUUCAAAACGGGUUACAAAGGUUAACCUAGACUAAUACAUUGCUAAAAAAAUGGCAAGCCUGGAAACACAGGCGUUACAAUUAAGAAGGGAAAUGUUUUAGAACUGGAUAUGACUAAAAGGAUUAAACAAUUGUCGAGGACAAUCUAAGGUUUACCAAAGAUUGGUUGCUCAAGGACAGUUGUAAGUAUAGUGUUAAUUCUGGAAGGACUAUAUUGACAUAAUCUGUAAGGAGGCAACUCUUGUUCAGAAGUGAUAGUCACAAUGGAAUCUGGAAAUGUUUCAAAGUUAGAAAUUAUUCAAUCUUUGUAAGAUUAGGAAACUUAAUGCAGGAAGGAUGUUUCCAAGGAGCUGAUCUCCUUUGGAAUGCUCUGUAAUGGUUGUUGUCAAGUCUUUCUGACUUUGUGCAUAAUCGUUACAAGAUGAUCAAUGCAUAUAAGUUUAGAAUCUAACAGAUUUCAGUAAAUGGCAUGAAUUUGGAAUUCUUGCAUUUGCAGUAAGGAAUUGGGAAUGUGGAAUGAGGAUCAUUGGAGUUAUGUUCAAUUGAUCUAUUUCACAAAGUAAAGAUCAUAGACAAACAUAGUAUGCAUACUUGGUGUAUGGCAUGACUAGUGUUUAGAAAACAUAGUGUACAUGCUUGGAGCAUGGGACAACUAUUGUUUUAAAUUCAAGAAUAAAGUUGAUAGCUGAAACAAUAUACAAUGAAUAAUGUGUAAUCAUAUGGUGAUAAAUAAAAGGUGUUUUAUUUAUAUUCAUAGGUUUUGAUACCAUAUUGGAUUCAAUUAUUAUUGUGUUUCACUUUGCAUGUUUUGACUUCCCGAAUAAACUGGGUUAUUCUUCCGGAAUGACUAAGUUAUUCAAACCAUCCACAGUCGGUCAUAUUUUGGAAGUAGAUAUGAAUUAAGACUGUCAUGGGUUGGCUUGUAGAGGUCUAAGGUGUUGGACAAAGGGCUACAACACUCAUGAGUGCUCAUAAGUUCUGAGUAUUGGAUUCAACCCGCGCUCAUUGGAAUCACUUCAUGGAUUUUAUCACGAGUGAUCAUGAGACGAUAAUAUCUUAUAUUCUUCAAACCUAGAGAUAUGAGUUGUUACUAUGAGUUGAUAGUACAUUGAUUGCACGAAAACGCAUUUGGUAACUCGGUGCUAUAAAACGUGCCUUUGUGUAUGAUUCAACAAGUAGUAGAACAAGCCAUAUGAGUCGAAGUUUAUCCAUUCCUUUUACCUUCGGGAUAAAAGCGAUAUCUGUGGGCCCCUCGAUGAUUUGAUGAUGACAAAUGGAAGUGCUCGGCCGGGCCAGGACUGAUUUGAUUUGUUCAAUUAGUCAGUCGUCAUAAAUCGGAAAUCGGGAAACAACAAAUGGACAGAGAGAAUGAUUAUAAUCCAUGUCUCAGUCCAUAUGAUAUCUAGAAUGGAGGAAUAUAUGAUCCCUUAUCUAAUGGACAAGUCAUUGACAAAGGUCAGAGUUCAUCUACAAGGUCAGAGUUCGACAGAAGCUUUUGAGAGCUACGAUUGCCAGUUGGUUCCUGAAGUCAUACGCAAUAAUAGUUUUAGACUUAUCCAAGUGGGAGACUGUUGGAUUAAUGUCUAAGUCCAUAACUAUAUUUGGUAAGACUUGACCCGACCCGGCAUGGUCCAUUUGGGUUGCAUACCAUCAUGCACUAAAAUGAGAGAAAUAAGACACUUAUGGUUAUUAAUAUAUUAUAAGUUCUAGUAUAUUAAUAAUAAGAAUAAUAAGAUUAUUUAAUUAGUAUUGAUCAAGAAUUAAUCUAGGAUUAAUUAAGUGAUCAAAAGAAGACUAAUUAAAUAUAUCGGUUGAUUGUGUAAAUCAUCCAUACUUAUAUAGUGGGCUAAUGCUCCAUGGAUUACCUAGUUGGGCUAAAACCCAUAGGAUGGNUUCAUGGAUGCUCCAUGGUGUUUUUGUACCCAUGGAUCAUGGAAAUGAAAGGCCAUGUCAAUUAGGGUUUACAUGGUGUAACCCUAACUAUAUGCAUCUUAUUCUUGACCAAAAUCGGCCACUAAUGAGUGUAAAAGAAGGGCUAGCCAAUUUCAUGAGUUGUGAAGUUUCUCUCAAGUUAUUCCAAGUGUAUUUGGUGUUGUGUGAACCAUUUGAGGUGCCACACUUGAGGCACUAGGCACUCAAGCUUCAUGAAGCCAUUGUACAUCAAAGAGGUAUGUAUUCUAUCUUGUAAUAUUCAUUAUUUUGUAUGCUAGAUUAGGAUAAUACCUCGGAUGUUCAUAAUUGCAUGUAUAAUAGAGAAAACGUAGAUCCAAGGUAGUUAGGGUUGCAAGUACACUUAGGAGUGUUAGAAUGCUCAAAACCCAACAGUUCUUCCGUCACAAAUUCCGUUGUAGUUAAUCCCUAGUAAAAUCUGUGGUGAUGAAUCCCUAGCAAAAUCCAUGGUGAAGAAUCCCUAGCUAAAUAUGUGGUGAUCAAUCCCUAGCUAAAUUCGUUUGAUGAUCUCCUUGCAAAUUCCGUGCUCAUGAAUCCCUAUGAGUUUUAGUGGUGUAUAUAUUAUAUACCAUAUUCAAUAUGGACUGAUUGAUAAUUGAUUUAUAAAUUAUAUCCAAAUAAUUUUGUAGUAAUAUAUGAAAAACAAAAAAAACAAAAAACUCAUAACCAUUAUAUCAUAAAAUAACAAAAUAAUUAUUUAUUACAUGGAAAAAAGAAAGUUGCUACUCUAAAAUACAUAAUCUUCAAUAAACAUAUAUCAACCAACUACUCUUGUUGUUUUGUAACGACAUUAAUAAGAUCCAAUGCCGUUUGAAGUUGUUUUUCAAGAUGCCCGACCCUUGCUUUGUUCUCCUCUUGUUAGGCAUUCAUCAUUUCUUUAAGCUGUUCAUUUUGUUGUUUCUGUUUAGCAAUAAGCUCCAUCAUUUCUUCUAUUUCAUCAUUUUUUUCCGAAAUAUAAGAUACAUCUAUUUUACCAUUCCUAUUGGGAACCACCUUUACAAACGAGCCUAAUCCAUAAAGUCUUCUUUUUUAUCAUGACCACCAACAACAGCAUAAAAUAGCUUGUCCUCCUCAAAUUCAGCACCUUCAGCUUCCAACUCUUCUCGUUUUUCUGUAUAGGCCAACUACAAAAUAAAAGUAUUAUAAGUUAAAAGAUAUCAAAUUUAGGAAUGAUAUUAAGGAGUAGCUAUAAUAUAAAAGUUAAUUUAAACUGAAAUGAAUAUUACAUGAAUUUGUCUAUCUUUUUCAUUUGUGAAAGUGACUCCAUCAUGAUUCUUAGUGUGUGUAUACAAGAACAAUUCACUAUGGGGUGGCUCAUGUCCUAAUUUCCUCUUAUGCAUAAAUACCAUAUAAAAAGUCAAAUAUACAGAUAAAAAGAUGCAAACAUUGAUACAAUGUACCAUUUAAAAAUUACUAAAUCAGAAGCUAUCUUCAAAUGACAUGCGGAUCCAGCGUUAUGUGUGGGUUUUCCUACUCCAUUAGCCACACCGUUAUGCCUAUUUUUCCUAUUCUGAUUAGAUUUUAGCUUGCAUUCUUUUGUAUUCUAUUUUAAUUGCCAAGAGUUCCAGACAUCAUGUGGAAUAUGAGCUGGUUUAAAGCCAUAUUUGUUUCUUUUUGGGCUCCUCAUGUUGAAGAGAUAUUGACCAUAACUUUGUGCCGCUUUCCUUGACCAAGCUUGCCUCACCGGCAAGUCUAUUUUCUCAUCCCGGCAACAUUUUUUCUACACAUUAUCAAUAUAAACAUAAGUUGAAGUGUAAAUGUUUACCAAAUAACAAUUUAUGACUUAUAGUUACCUGAAACUCCUCCCAAUAUAAUUCACGCAUUUCAUUGCUUACUUGUGCCCAAGCGUACCCUUCCGGAUCUACUCUUUGUUUAAAGGACUGACUAAUAAAGUGUGCACAAGAGCCUGGUGGCAUUAGCCUACAAGUAAUCAUGUAAUGUGUUAAGUUAUGAAUUGAUAUGUAGGUGUAAGCCAAAAUUUAAUACAUAAAAAAGUUGUAAUUAAGAUUUAAAUUGGUAACUCACGUAUUUUUAGAACAUGAAAAUUUAAACGUCCAUUUGGUCCACAAUCUUUAGAGGAAUUAUUUUCACCUUCUACACUUUCCACUACAGAUCCAUUCAUGGUUGGUUGUGUUGGUGAUGGGGUAUAUUCGGGGAUAGGUGUUGUUGAUGGGGUAUAUUCUGGGGUAGGUGUUGUGAUAGAUGUAUAUGUUGAAGAUGAGGUAGUUCCUUUACUUAAGGAGGAUGAUGUAGUUAUUGUAGUUGCGGCGGAUGGGAGUGUAGAUGCAGGUUUUGAGGUUGUGGUAGUAGAUAUAGGUGUUGAUGAUUCGGUAGUGGUGUUGGUGUUGAGGAUGGUUUAGAUGAUGUAGGUGUUGAAGUUUUGGUUAUUGAUGUUCGUGUUGACGAUUGUAUUGUUCCAGUUUCUGAAGUUUUAAAUGUUUUUCUACGGAGGUUGUGGAUGUCGUAAGUGAUGCCGAGGAAGUGGUAGUCAUGGGUGAUGUUAAUAAUAUAGGUUUAGGAGUUUUGUUGGUAGAUGUUAUAGGUGCUUUGGAUGUGGUUGUUGGUAUUGAGAAGUCGAUUUCUUCAUCUUGUAACCAUCUGUUUCCGAAUUUUGCAGCUGAAAUCUUAUAGCGUUUCAUAACUUGUGGUGCAAUGAAUUUAGUUGGCUUCACACCGGAUACUCCUUUUGCUUUCGAGGUCGACAUCUUUCUGACGCAAACAAUAAAAAUAAAUUAUAUAUGAAGGCAUUACAUUGCAUGCAAACUAUUGAAUACAAUCAAAACCAAUUUACAUGAAGAUGAUCAAAGAACAAAAAACGAUGGAUCAUCACGACAACAGUAAAUUAAAUAAAUAUAAAUUUUAGAUGAAUGACAAACUAUAUCGCCAAAGUCAGUGCAUAAACGUAUAAUGAACAAAGAUUUCUAUCAAUAAGCCAUCGGAGAUAAUGAUUACAGAAAAUCUAAACCCUAUUUCUAAUCGGUAAACUUAAUUACCCUAAUAUACAUCAUAAACGUGUGUAGGUUGGAGGGAAACGAAUUGUGAAAUACUUGGAACCUCCGCUAAUAAAAAAAUUCGAACUAUGUUAAUUAACGCUAAAUAUUUAGUAAUUCAAAUUUAUUUAAAGUAGUUAAAGAUUGAUAGAUAGGGUAUAUACAUAUAAAUAACGUCAAGAAAGAACAUAGAGUAACGAUGUGUUCAUAGUAUAAUUCUGACUAAAAAUUAUAUAUGAGGACAUUAAUAAACUAUACUUCUUUAUGCUUUUCUGUUUAAACCGAAAUUUAUAUACAAAAGACGUACGAGUCAUGUCAAUAUAUAUGAUAGUGGCGUAUGGUGUCCAUGGAUGACAUAUGGGCCAAUGGUCGAAAUGGUAGUGGCUUAUUGUGUCCAUGGAUGACAUAUGGUUGAUUAGUCCACAUAAUGGCUUAUGGUGUCCAUGGUUGACAUAUGGGCCAUUGGUCCACAUGGUAAUGGCUUAUGGUGUCCAUGGUUGACAUAUGGGUAACAUAUGGGCCAUUGGUCAACAUGGUAGUUGGUUAUGGUGUGAUGGUAUCACCCAUGGAUGAAAUACUGGUCAUUCGUCAACAUGGUAGUUGAUUAUGGUGUCAAUGGAUGACAUAUGGUUCAUUGGUCAACAUGGUAGUUGCUUAUGGCGUGAUGGUAUCACCCAUGGAUGAAAUACGGGUCAUUGGUCAACAUGGUAGUUGAUUAUGGUGUCCGUCGAUGACAUAUGGGCCAUUGGUCAACAUGGUAGUUCCUUAUGGUGUGAUGGUAUCACUCAUGGAUGACAUACGGGUCAUUGACCAACAUGGUAGUUGCUUAUGGGGUGAUGGUAUCACCCAUGGAUGAUAUAUGGGUCAUUGGUCAACAUAUAUCAUUUGUGCCGGUUGUGUAUUAAAAUUUAAAAUUUUCAAAUACUUAAUUUUGUAGGAAAUAUUAAUUUUUUAAAUAAUUUUAUUAAUAAUUUAGGGUCCCUAAUUUAAUCACCGCUGAGUCUGAUUAAUUGUUUAUUGCCAGUUGACCGCCGAGCGAUCGACGAGCGAUUUUUACAACCUUGAUUAAAAUAGAAAUUGAUUUUUCUUUUAAAUAUUACUUUUUACAAAACUACCCUUACUAAUUAAAUACGAGUCAUUGUAUGUAUUAGGACAAUUUGGUCAUUUUAUAAUGGAACAUCUUCUAGGCGCCAUAAUGCUUUCCGACGAAACAUGUUGUUUCAGUUCUUCACUCUUAUUUUAGUCACUUUGAAACAAACCCAAUUUAAAAAUUCCGACGGACAAAAAACCCUAAAAUCAAUUUCGCAGAAUCGUUACCUUAAUGAAUGUUUAUUAUUAUGGAAUCCAGUACUUCUUCUAAGAUUCAAUCAAGAAAUCAUACGAAAUCGCUAAUAGACAUGGCAAAAAUAAUAGUCGACUUGGCAAAAAUUUCAACAGUCGAUGCUUUCAGGAUGAAGAAUGUGUAAGUUUUGCCUUUGAUCAUUCUAUUUCACAAGUGUAUUUGAGAUGUCAUUACAUUAUGGAGUGAAUAUUGUGUUUCAUUUGCAGUUGCAGAUUCUUCAACGAGCCAGGAAAAACGGAUGAAGUAUAUAAACAUAUGGAGUUAGAUGGAUUACGAUUUCGUGUUUGGUCUGACAAGAAACAUGAAGUUGUCAAUAAAUGCAUAGAUAUGAGAAACCCAAAUACUCUAUUCAGGAAUGGAUUGGUAUGUUGUUAUAUAUAUGCAUAGUAGUAAUUAAUCUGUUACUUGUUUUGCAUAACUUUAACUAGAAAUUAUGUCUUUAAUGUUUUUUUCAGAUGAAGUUAUUUUUCUUAGAAGCUGAACAUGAAGGGAAAACGAUGAUUGAAGAAGCAUCUGCAUUGGUACAUUUGGAUUCAACAUUUGUCCUGGGAAUGAUGCUGAUGGCUGAAGGGAGACAUAGGAAGCAGGAAGCUUUGGAUAUGUUGAACAAUGCUUACCGCAGAGCAAAAGGUAAGUGGAAUCUUAGAGCAACUUGUUCUAAGGUUCGUCUACACUUAAUUAGGGAGGGGAGGAAACAUGUACACUUCCAUGGCUUCCAUAGAUGUUGUGCAUUGCAUAAGUCUGUAGUUAGUGUGUCAGAUGCUUUUGUGAAUGGAUACAAAUGGGUGUUUAUGUGUGAAAUUUGUUUAUGGGAUGCUUGUUUCGUAUGGUUUUUUAGGGAGUUUGGUAUAAUUUAUGAGUAGUUUGUUGAUAUGUAUUUUGAUAUCGUGACAAUUAAUGCUAUGUAGAUUAUUUUGGUUUAAUAUACAAAUAUAUAUAGUAAUUUACUUAAUAAGUAAUUAUUUGAUGUUGUUACUUGAUUAGUAAAUAUGUUGUGUUGUUAAUAAGGGACUAAAAGAGUUAAAGUUUGGAAUGAUGUUUGAAUGAUGUUUCAAUAAUGUUUGAAUAAUGUAUUUUGGACUUUUAAUAUUAGUGUUUAUAUUGUAUUUUGAUUAUAGUUGUAUGUAGCAAAUGUUUGUUCUUUCCUAGUAUUAAAUACAUAUAAAAUACAAUUGUAAAGGCAUAAACAAGCAUGUAUUUUAUUUUGGACUUGGUAAUUUGGUUUAAUAUCAACUAUUGGAGAACCCAUGCUUUGCAUAAGGUAAAAUUGUAAAGGAUUAAACAUAGGGACUAAAAGUGGCAACAAAGAAAAAUUAUUGUGGCUAAAAUCAAAGUAAAAAAAUUACUAUAAACAUAGGGGCUAAAAGUGGCAACAAAAGAAAACUAUUUUGUCUAAAAUCUAAAGUAAAUAAGUUUACUAUUAAAAUCUUGUUCCACAUUUAAUAUGUAUAUUAGUACAUGAAUAUAUACUAGUAAUUUGGUGAAAUGUUAAUAUAUAUAUAUAUAUAUAUAUAUAUAUAUAUAUAUAUAUAUAUAUAUAUAUAUAUAUAUAUAUAUAUAUAUAUAUAUAUAUAUAUAUAUAUAUAUAUAUAUAUAUGUUAUUUUUGACUUUUUCAUUUCAACAAUCAAAAGUCCAAUGUUACCAAGCUAUAAAAGGCUAUAAUAUUUGAAUAUGUGUUUUGACACAAAUACCCUUAGUAUUCACAUAUUUGGAUUGACUUCAGGGACAAUUUGGUCUUUUUGCACUCUAAAUUGUUGAGGCGCCAUCAUACCUUUGACGUCACGUCAGCGUUCCAGUUCUUCAACCAUUCUGAACAUCUCAACUUUUUCGGACGACAAAUCUGCAUACAAACACUAAAACCCCUAAAUCGUCGAAGGAUAAUCGUUGUCAAAAACGAUUUUCUCUAAUAAUAGAGACUCAUAUACUCCUCUCGACCAGAUCAGCAUAAAUUAAGUUUUUUUUUCCAUACCAUGUAACACUGUCUUUCAAAGUUACGCUUAAUUUUUUUAAAAAAAUUGAAAUAACUACUCCAAUGUGUAUUUUGUAAGUAGAAUGUCGAAUACUAGAAGUCGUCGUUCGUUUGAUGAUCUCCCACUAAAGCUUUUGAGUCUAAUAUUUGUAGUAUUAGGGUCAGAAUCUGCGAAAGACAUCGUCUCUGCAAAACUUUGGUAAUUCUCAAUAAACAUCAACUAAUGAAUGUAUAUUUUAUGAAAUAAAAAUUUAUUUGUUUGUUAUUUACUGUUUAUUUAAAUUUUUGAAGUUCAAAGAAGAUGUAUGAAGCAGGGGGUGAUCCUAAAGUGUAUAGAACAACAUGCGUUGACAUGUUUGAAGGAAUGGGUCCCAAAAAUCUGAAAGCUGAAUUAUUUAUGCGCACAUGUGAAUUGCAUAAUAAUAUUGAAGCCAUGUUUAGACAAGGAAUUGUAUGUGUAGUAUCAGUAAUUAUAUGUAAUCUAUACCAUUUAUUAAUAUUAAGUGUCAUUGAUGUUAAAUAUUGAUAUUGUUAUUAUGUCAACAAGAUGAGUGCUUUUAUUAUGGCCAUUUUGAUUUAGGAAUGACUUUGUUGAGACAAGCAGCAGAUGAAGAUCAUCUUGAGGAAAUUUAUUUGCUUGGAAUGAUCUACAUUUCUAGAGGGCCUCAUCAUUGUGAUGAAGGUAAGUAUAUAUGGUAUAUAUGCAAAUUAAAUUAUAUAUAUCGUUAAUUAAGGCAUGUUUGUAGUUUGGGGUUAGUAUUUAGUUGUAACAUCCGGACUUCCAAGUAUUAUAAUUUAUUCGUUUAUUUUUGGAAGUUGUGAGGAGACUCAGCGAGUUGGUGUUUAAACUCGCCGAGUAUGGUCGCGGAUUCCUGUCCGAGUUCACAGCUGGACUCGGCGAGUUCAUGAGUGGACUCGGCGAGCCCACGCUGUUUAAUGAAACCCUAAUUUCCAGGGUUUGAGACCUAUUUAAAGGCCCUUAGGGCCGUCAUUUGCGGCCACCAAACCCCAGAGAGAAACCCUAAGAGAUCUAGAGCAUUUUUGAGGAAGGAGAGGCCAUUCUUGAUCCUUUUGUUGGUGUUUUUGCAAGAAGAAGGUGACCAAGGCAAGAGGAGGCUGAAGGAGGUGCGAUUUUGGUGAUUUCUGAGUUCAUAGAGAUCAUAUUGAGGUAUUUUUCUCGAACCUUCUUCAGUUUUAGUGUUGAUUCUAAGUGUUAGUGUUUUCUAACCCUUUUAGAGGUUGGAUAAGUGGGGCAUUUGGUCCCUUCUCGAGUCUAUGUUUUGGAUAUGGACCCAAAGAGGUCCAAAGACCUUAAUCCUUGGAGCUUUAUGAGUCAUUUUGGGAGCCAUGAGCUUGGGAUGUCAUUUUUGGGGCUAAAUCACCAUGUUAGACCAUUUAGAUGUUAUAUAAGCGUCAAGGUCUGAACUUUACAUGAUUAUCAUGCUUGGGAAGGCUAGAUCUAUGAAUGUAAGGAACAAAUCUAACCUCAGGAGGCCUAUGGAGUUUGUGCAUGGCAUGAACUCGCCGAGUCCGAAGAACAGACUCGACGAGUAGGAUGAGGGUAGCCCCGCGAUUCAUGCCAGGUGUGACUCGUCGAGUAAGGGGAAGGACUCGACGUGCCAAGAGAGGGGCUAAGAGAGUCAGUGGGCAUGUGUAGACUCGUCGAGUCGCCCAAGUGCACUCGACGAGUCGGGUCAAAGUUUGACCGUUGAAUUUUGUGGACUUUUAGGGUUGGGUAUAGUUGUAUUGAUGAGAGCAUUUACUUUGUGUGAUUAGGCGGAGGCUAGAUCACAUUUCUACCGAGUCAGAGACUUACCGAGACACCUGAGGUAAGUCUUCUCACUAUACGUUAGCUAGAGUGGUAUUACGUGAUGAUUAGAGGGUCUUAUGUGUUAUGUAUGAGAUUAUGUUCUAUGUGAUAUAUGUAUGUUGUAUGAUGAUAUAGACCGGACCGGAGGGUCCAACGAGCUAUGACCGAACCAGAGGGUCCAACGAGCUACGAGACUAGAGGGUCCCGCUGAGACACAUCGACCAGAGGGUCGUACAUUGGCCUCGAGUGGCGUAUGUGUUGUAUGCGGUAUUUUGGGGAACUCACCAAGCAUUUAUGCUUACAGUUGUUGUGUUAUGUGUUUCAGGUACCAGUGAUGAACGCGGGAAGGCGCUGGCAUGAUUCGUACACACGCACAUUGGAGUUAUAUAUAUUCUGAUCUUGGGGUUUUGUACUGAUACAAUGUUGAUACAAUGUUUUUAAAAUGAAUGUGAACGAUAUUUAAUGGUUUUAUCAAAAGUGAAAAAUUGUUCAAAUUUUACGGUGUUACAAGUUGGUAUCAGAGCCUUGGUUUGAGGGAUUCGGAUGCAUCUUCGGGCAUAUCUGAACUCAAACUGAGGAUUUGAGGAAAAUUUUGAUAAUGAAGUAAAAUUUUUGAAAAGAGUAAAAAAAAGUUUUGAGACAAACAGAGCAGAGCCGUGUGUACGAUCAGCCAGCGCCCGAACGGUGAAUCCCCAAAAGUACCCUUACAUUAUGUGUUAUGAGAUAUGUUAUGUGACAUUAUGCAUGCUAGAGUAGGCUAGGUAUACAUAUUAGGACUAGAGUGGCCUGAUUGGUGAUGCCUUAGCCUUGGAGAUUUCUGCUGCUGAGAUGCUUUGGGAGCGAGUAGAUAGCAGUUAGGAGCUCAUGAGAGUAGAGUACUCGUAAUCCAGGAUCCAAGGAGGAGGACUUGGAGUGAAUGCUGAUGCGUUGUGGUCAGUAGUAUUGGGCCCGUACUACUGAAGACAUCGGAUAAGUGGGCAUUCCUAGUAAGAAUCUUUUGGACAACGAAGGACGAGUAGCGUUGUGUCAUCGAGUAUGAGUAUGCUCGAUCGAGUCUCUGAUAAUUAUUGUUGUAUUUCAGAGGCAUCAUGGUUGGGACUCGACACACACCUGAGAGCAGUGGUGUCAGCGACGAGGAGAUCCGUCAAUUGAUUCACGAGGAGGUGGCUGCUACCAUUUGAGCUGAGAUUCUUGAGAUGUUUGGGGACAUCAGGACCACACUAAUCCAGUCCUUUGAUGAGCGGUAUGCAACUCUGACUGAGGUUGCGGCAGCUGCAGCUACUGCUGCUGUUGCUGCUGCCAGACCUCAGGGAGGUGACUCGUUGUUGUUUCGGGAGUUUGGAAACACGAAGCCACCAGAGUUCAAUGGGAUGCAUGACCCGAUUACUGUGAUGAGAUGGAUAUCAGACAUCGAGGGACGUUUAUGUACGUGUUCUUGUCCAGAUCACUUGACGGUAUGGUUCGCCCUGAACCAGCUCCGCUUGGGAGCGAAGGAUUGGUGGAAGUUCGUGACGGCGAACUUCACUUUGGCUGAUAUUUCCGAGGUGACCUGGGAGAGGUUCACCGCUAUGUUCAGAGAUGAGUAUGUUCCACCGGUGGAGAGGGAAUGGUUGAUUCAGGAGUUCUUGACCCUCAAGCAGGGUACUAAUUCUGUGACAGUGAUCACCAAGAAGUUUCAUGAGAAGGCGAUGUUUUGCCCUGAGCAGGUGUCUUCUGAGCAGGCUCGUAUGAGCCUUUAUCUGAGUGUUCUGAAGAGAUUAANCCCUGAGCAGGUGUCUUCUGAGCAGGCUCGUAUGAGCCUUUAUCUGAGUGUUCUGAAGAGAGAUAUUCAGGAGUUCGUGGCGAACUCGACUUACCGGACAUUUGCUGAGCUCCAGGAAAAUGCCUGGAAGAGGGAGAUUGAGUUGGAGACACAGGCCAGGGAGGAGGCCGAGUCGCAGAGGGCGGAUCGGCGACCGGUACAGUCUCCACCGACUGCCAAGCAGGCUAGACCUGCUGAUUCGAGAUCUGGGGGCGCGAAGGGCCGCACUUGUGGGAAGUGCGGUAAGAGUCAUGAGGGGUCGUGCAGGGCUGGAGUAUGUUACAAGUGCGGGAAGGAGGGGCAUAUCGCGAGGGAUUGCCCCAAGGGAUUCUCGGUUUGCUUUCAUUGCAACCAGACCAGCCAUCGGAAGUCCGAGUGCCCUCAGCUACUUCAGGGGUCAGCGCAGGGAUCUGCGCCUGCUGCUAGGGUUACCAAGGUUCGGCCGGUGAAGGCCGAGGCCCCGAAGGUUCAUGGGAGAGCAUUUCAGUUGACUGCGGAGGAGGUCCACGCGGCGCCCGACGUUGUGGCUGGUAUGUAUUCUAUAUUCAUCUUUUAUUUGUUGAGUUAUUAUGCUUAUAUGAUGAUGUGUGUAGGUACUUUUCUUGUGAGUUCUGUACCUGCUUUGGUAUUAUUUGACUCAGGUGCGAGUUGGUCGUUUGUUUCCGUAGCAUUUAGUCAGCACAUUAAUAUCCAUCGAGAGGCGUUGGAUCGGCCUCUAUGAGUUUCCAUAGCUGAUGAGCGAGCGGUGUAUGCUUCAGAUGUGAUUCGAGGAUGUGUCCUUGAGAUUUUCGAUGUGGAGUUUCCGAUAGAUCUGGUUCCGAUCGCGAUGGGGGACGUGUGUUUUAUAGUGGGUAUGUUUUGGUUAAGCCGAUAUGGAGUUGUGAUAGACUGCGAACGUCAAUUCGUGACAAUUCGAGACCCUAGUGGGGGAGUUCUUACAGUGUACGGCGAGGGUACACGUACGGAGUCAGCAUUUUCCUCGGCCGCCAGAGCGAGGCAGAGUCUACAACAGGCUGUAAGGGAUUUGUGACAUAUGUGAUGGAUGCGAGGGUUGAUUCAGAGAGACCGAAGUCAGUGGAUGAGGUCCCGAUAGUGCGUGAGUUUCCGGAUGUGUUUCCAGAAGAGUUGUCGGGUGUGCCUCCAGAGAGGCAAGUAAAGUUCGGUAUUAAAUUAGUUCCGGGAGCUGCGCCUAUUGCCAAGGCGCCUUAUCGCCUUGCGCCUCCGGAGAUGCAGGAGUUAUCCUCGCAGCUCUAGGAGCUGCUGGGGAAGGGGUUUAUUAGGCCGAGCAGUUCGCCAAGGGGGGCACCUAUCCUUUUUGUUAAGAAGAAGGAUGGUUCACACCGUAUGUGCAUCAAUUACCGGGAGUUGAACAAGAUAACGGUCAAGAACCGUUACCCAUUGCCGAGGAUUGACGAUUUGUUCGAUCAGUUGCAUGGAGCAUCUUGGUUCUCCAAGAUCGAUUUGAGGUCUGGGUAUCAUCAGGUGAGGGUGCGAGAUGAGGACAUCCAGAAGACAACAUUUCGGACUUGUUAUGGACAUUACUGUUGGGUUAUGAGCAUUCUAACACUCCUAAGUGUACAUGCAACCCUAAAUACCUUGGAUCUAUGUUUUCUCUAUUAUACAUGCAAAUAAGAACUUCCAAGGUAUUAUCCUAAUCUAGCAUAUAAAACUAUCAAUAUAACAAGAUAGAAUACAUAACUCUUUGAUGUAGAAAGUCUUCAUGAAGCUUGAGUGCCUAGUGCCCCAAGUGUGACACCUCAAAUGGUUCACACAACACCAAAUACACUUGGAAUAACUUGAGAGAAAUCCACAACUCAUGAAAUCGGCUAGCCCUUAUCCUUACAUACUCUAGUGCCCGAUUUUGGUCAAGAAUAAGAUCUUUAUAUAGUGUUACAAUUAGGGUAAACCCUAAUUGUCAUGACUUUCCAUUUCCUUGGAUCCAUGGGUUCAAAUACACCAUGGAGCAUCCAUGGACCAUCAUAUGGGUUUUGGCCCAACUUGAUUAUCCAUGGAGCAUUAGCCCACUAUACAAGUAUGGAUGAUUUACACAAUCAACCCAUAUAUUUAAUUAGUCUUCUUUUGAUCACUUAAUUAAUCCUAGAUUAAUUCUUGAUCAAUACUAAUUAAAUAAUCUUAUUAUUCUUAUUAUUAAUAUACUAGAACUUAUAAUAUAUUAAUAACCAUAAGUGUCUUAUUUCUCUCAUUAUAGUCUAUCCAAGUGCAUGAUGGUAUGCAACCCAAAUGGACCAUGCCGGGUCGGGUCAAGUCUUACCAAUUAUAGUUAUGGACUUAGACAUUAAUCCAACAGUCUCCCACUUGGAUAAGUCUAAAACUAUUAUUGCGUAUGACUUCAGGAACCAACUGGCAAUCGUAGCUCUCAAAAGCUUCUGUCGAACUCUGACCUUGUAGAUGAACUCUGACCUUUGUCAAUGACUUGUCCAUUAGAUAAGGGAUCAUAUAUUCCUCCAUUCUAGAUAUCAUAUGGACUGAGACAUGGAUUAUAAUCAUUCUCUCUGUCCAUUUGUUGUUUCCCGAUUUCCGAUUUAUGACGACUGACUAAUUGAACAAAUCAAAUCAGUCCUGGCCCGGCCGAGCACUUCCAUUUGUCAUCAUCAAAUCAUCGAGGGGCCCACAGAUAUCGCUUUUAUCCCGAAGGUAAAAGGAAUGGAUAAACUUCGACUCAUAUGGCUUGUUCUACUACUUGUUGAAUCAUACACAAAGGCACGUUUUAUAGCACCGAGUUACCAAAUGCGUUUUCGUGCAAUCAAUGUACUAUCAACUCAUAGUAACAACUCAUAUCUCUAGGUUUGAAGAAUAUAAGAUAUUAUCGUCUCAUGAUCACUCGUGAUAAAAUCCAUGAAGUGAUUCCAAUGAGCGCGGGUUGAAUCCAAUACUCAGAACUUAUGAGCACUCAUGAGUGUUGUAGCCCUUUGUCCAACACCUUAGACCUCUACAAGCCAACCCAUGACAGUCUUAAUUCAUAUCUACUUCCAACAUAUGACCGACUGUGGAUGGUUUGAAUAACUUAGUCAUUCCGGAAGAAUAACCCAGUUUAUUCGGGAAGUCAAAACAUGCAAAAUGAAACACAAUAAUAAUUGAAUCCAAUAUGGUAUCAACCCUUUGAACAUAAAUAAAACACCUUUUAUUUAUCACCAUAUGAUUACACAUUAUUCAUUGUAUACUGUUUCAGCUAUCAACUUUAUUCUUGAAUUUAAAACAAUAGUUGUCCCAUGCUCCAAGCAUGUACACUAUGUUUUCUUAAACACUAGUCAUGCCACACACCAAGUAUGCAUACUAUGUUUGUCUAUGAUCUUUACUUUGUGAACUAGAUCAAUUGAACAUAACUUCAAUGAUUCUCUUUUCACACUCCCAAAUCCUUACUGCAAAUGCAAGAAUUCCAAAUUCAUGCCAUUUACUGAAAUCUGUUAGAUUCUAAACUUAUAUGCAUUGAUCCUCUUGUAAUGAUUAUGCACAAAGUCACAAAGACUUGGCAACAAUCAUUACAGAGUAUUCCAAAGGAGAUCAACUCCUUGGAAAUAUCCUUCUUGCAUUAAGUUUCCUUAAUCUUACACAGAUUGAAAAUUCUAACUUUGAAACAUUUCCAGAUUCCAUUUUGACUAUCACUUCUGAACAAGAGUUGCCUCCUUACAGAUUAUGUCAAUAUGGUCCUUCCAGAAUUAUCACUAUACUUCCAAUUGUCCUUGAGUAACCAAUCUUUGGUAAACCUUAGAUUGUCCUCGACAAUUGUUUAAUCCUUUUAGUCAUAUCCAGUUCUAAACCUUUUCCCUUCUUAAUGCCCCAGGCAUUUGGAAAAUUUUAGAACGGAUGAAUAUAGCACAUGUAAUCGAUCCUAUAUCCGAAGCAUAUGGGACACGAUUCAUGAUGUCUUACAUAAAGACUAAACCAGUCUUUUGCUAUAAUAUUUCCAUUUCAAUUUGCCAAGUUCUCAUAAUUCAGAUUAUGAAAAGGGAUGCCGUAAUCAUAAUCGAAUUUUAGAACGCAAAUAAUGGACCCAUAUACAGAAUUUCCUUAUGUUGAGCCAUUCCAACAUGAAAUUCAUAUAUAUCCUUGACUAAAUGAUUAAAACCUCACGAUCUAAGCUUAUAGAUUUGAGAUGAAGCAUAAUUUCCUCUCCCUUAAUUAUAGCAAAACAACUUUUUCCCAAUUGAAACUUUUGUUUUCUAUAAUUAACAUUGCUAACUUGCAAUACUUAUCAUAAUUAUCAUGCUCCCACUAACAUGAUGAUUAUUAGCAUAACACUUAUGCUCCCACUAGCUUUGACAUGUACUCAGAAAUCAGCUGGACAGUCUGAAAUUUAGAUUCAUACACCCUUUCCGUAGAUAGCUCACCUGUGUGUCUAAGCAAUUUCAAGAACCAUGAAAAGGGAUACCGUAAUCAUGGUCUCAAUUGCUUAGGCAUUUGCCAUUUCUCACAAGUCCAUGUUAGUGUGCCGGUUAACCACACGCGCUCCACUAACGACUUUUGAAAAUGCAAAUAACACAAUUGAUAUCUUCGUAAAAUCUACUUAGUGAAAGCGUUUCCUCACCAUCAUUUUCAUGAAUCGGAGAGAAACCUUAUGACACUUAGAUUUAUAUGGUGUAUGAGUUCCUACCCAUAUGAAUUUGUCAAACCAUAAUCACAAGACAAAGAUAAUGACAAAUCCAAAACCAUAUGGAUUGAACUCAAUCUUAACUUCUUGCCACCUGGCAGCUCAAGGGCCUGCCAUUGCUUCCAAGUUGUUAUGCAACAAACUGAGAACUCUAAGAACUCAUAUGCAAAGCCAACUUUAACUGGAAUGGGCACAGAUAUGUCAACACGAUAGGUUAUAAACCUCAAGUCGUGUGCUAGUGAAGAACUUUAGGUUUUAUUCUUGAUUAUUUCUUGAGACUUUCAAGACCUUUAAGACUCCCACUGUCCUCUUGACAUAUAAGACUCCCUUGUCAAACAUCCAAGAGAUAGUGCGGAUUCUAAUCAAGAAAAACACUUUACCCAAUUGGCCUAAGUUGGUCUUUGUUUUAUCCAAAACAUCACAACUUACCAAUUUCAAAUGUACAAGAGUAGAAAACUUUUACUCUUACAUUUGACAAGUGUUUUAAACCUUCUUUAAGACAUGUCACUCAAAUGACAAUCUUGGAGUAUGACUCUAAGACUUGUAUUGGAACGAAGUAUGACUCAUCUUCUUGAUUUAACCAUUUCAACAAUUCAAGUUCCUCUUCUUAGUCAUAAGAAUGCACUAAGAUUUCCUUAGAGAACUAAUUUUGAUAUGGUUUCUUAAUCAUUAAGAUGAUCACAAAACUGAUACUAAAGUACUCUCCCAUCUUUUCAGAUUUGAGAAACUUUUAUCCUUCUGCCUUAUUUGAUUCUUCUUAUCGAUCUUUAGUGGUGGACUUAAUCAGUGCACAAGAAUGUGUACUCGAUCCCUAAGUCCUUUACUUGACUCACACAUCCAUGUGAACAAGUAAUUAGUCUUAAUUUUCCAAAACUUGAAAGUUCUCAUUCAUCAUGCUAUACAACUUGCAUGAUUCCAAGUUCCGGUCCAAUUGAAACUUGGGUGAUGAGAAUCUUUCCUUAUUUGGUAAAUUUAGACAUUACCACAAAUGAAAGAAUCAAUUUCAUAUUUCCACUCUUGCUCUUAAUGGAAUCAUAUAAGCAACAAUUUUUCCUCAAAUGCCAUUGUAAGGAUAUUUUAAAAUAAAUAAAAUCAAAAAAAUUUUCUUUUAUUUUAAAACUUUGCGGAAAAACUUAUCCUUACAAUCCAUAUGAAAACUUGUUGUUAUCUAUUCCUAAGCAAUAUCUCAUAACUCCUAAGAAGUAGCUCAAGAAUCCGAUCUUCAAACUAUGCGAUAGAAAUCCAUCUACGCCAUCAGAUUCAGCAUAUUCUUUCUUUAAGUUUCUUCACUUUUCUUUGAUUCUUAAAACAUCACCAUGUGACCCAGUCACAUCAUGUAUCAAGAAUCUCAGAAUAGAAACUUAACAGAGUUAGAUAGUGGACUUUACCUGAAGUAGAGUCAAACUUAUUGACUUUAACAUCCUUAGGUAAAUUUGGCAGCUUCGCAACCAAUGCCCCUUCCUUUGGCAAUAUAAACAUAUGGACCCUUUGAUAAUGGUACACGGGACUAUCACAGACUUAGCUUUUCUCUUUACCAUUUGGUCAACCGAGUUGACUAUGGCCGAUCCCUUUCCAUUGGGAAGAGAAUGCUUUACUGGAUAUCCAAUGUCAUCAUUGUCAAUGUCCAUAAAGUUUUAGGAAGUUGAUCUUAGCAAAUAGAUAAGAUCAUUAAGGGUCUUGUCAUAGUCUGUUUCAUAGGUGUCCCAAAGGAACUCACUAUGUGACUUAGAAAGUGGUUGAACCACCAACUUUCUCAAGACUUUGACACCCAACUCUCCCGGCUUGUCAAUAUGUGACUACAUCUCCAAGAUGUGACCACACCUAGACCUUGCCUUGCCAAUAGGGCCUGAGUGACCUUAAACUUUUCAAGAACUUGUGGGUUAGGGAGAAUAAUUUGAAGAGGUGAAGAAGUAUGAUAUCCAUGGGACAUCAUCUUCAUUAGGAAACCUUGUUUCAAGAGAUUUGGGAAGAUCAUAGGUGUCUAAACCAGACAUCUUUUGGGAGAUAUUCAAGAUAGUUGAUUUAAAGUCCUUAAUAUGACACCCAAUAUGAAAUAUUAAGGCUAGGACCCAACAAACUAUUUUAUAACUUAGAAGAGGUAUGCCGUAAUCCAAGCUAUAAAAUAUUUGAAGGUAGGUGAAUGACGAUUCACCAAUUUCCACCAAGAUAAACGAAAUGUAUUAUUAGGUUUUAAUUGGUUUUGAAACUCCUAGAUCUUUGAGAUUCAUUGAACUUUUCAAAGGCAUGUUUCAAUCUCGAGUGUGCCCUUCAGGUUUUGUGACUGGGAUGCCGAGGAUCACAAAACAAGGUGUGAAGUAACCAUGCAAAUCACUUGGUACCCUUAAUAAAUUACCCCUCAAUCGAUGUGCCGGUUAACCACACACGCUCCAUCGAUACUAUGAUAAAUAUUAAGUCACCCUUUACCUACCUUGUUAAGUCCAAGUUAGUGUGCCGGUUAACCACACACGCUCCACUAACGACUUAGACAAAGUGUAAAGUGUAAUUUCAUGGAUUAGCACCUUAUUCACAUUUUUCCUAAGUAACUAAGAUUGGGUAUUAUUAAGAGUUUAGUUACUUAGUAUUAUCAUUAAUACUUUUAAUGAAGGGAGAAUUCUAGUCCUGUCAAACCCGUUCGGCUAACGACCCUCCACCAGUCAAGCAAGCGGUGGGUGAGAGUGGACACCCAUUAAGUUGCCAUUUUAUAGGCAACAACCUUAUACCCACCUUAUAGACCGGCUUCGUGAAUGAGGCGUACUAGCGGUAAGACUGACUUUACUCUUAUACAUAUAUAUAUUAUUAACUUAUAAUAUUAUAAAGUAUAAGGGUUGAAUUUUAACUUUUAAAAUUCUAAGGGCUAACUUGGAAUUAAAGUAUUCAUACUUGAAAACUUUUCAAAUUCCAAAACUUGAGGGCAAGUUUUGAAACUAUUCAAAACUAAUUAAUUCCAUAACUUAUGUGUUUAAAGUAGUUUUAAUCCAAAAACUCUUCAAGUUCCAUAACUUGAGGACAAGUUAUGGAAGACUUUAAACUAAUAAAAGAACUAACUUUUUCUUUAUUUUAUAACUUAUGGAUUUAAUUAUGGUUACAUAUUUUUCUUUAAUGAAGUGACUCUUGAACUUCCAUAACUUGAGGACAAGUUAUGGAGUCAAAAAAAAUUAUUCAAUGACACAAGACUCUUCAUUUUGUAACCAUUGCCAACUUUUAUGAAUUUUAUGAGUCUUUAAUGUGACUCUUCAUGUAACUUGAGGACAAGUUACACAAACACAUUUUAUACUCAACUCUUAGAUUAAAAUGGAUUGAAAACAACUAUUUCACUCAACAUUUCUAUUAAUCUAAGCAACUCAUAAGAACAAGAUAAUUCAAAUCAAACUUUUUCAUGUAAUUAGUCUAAACCUUAAACUAAUACAAAACAUGAAUCUAUUGACAAUUAUCUUUGAAAAUGGAUUAGCAUGAACAUUACCACAUCAAAAACAAGUUUAUAAGUUCAAAAACAACUUAGGGUAAUGUUCCUAGUCCAUUUCUAGCCAAAAAACUCGAAAAUAUGCUGUCUGGGGGUCCAACUCGUCGAGUGCAUGAACAAACUCGGCGAGUUGGAUCGAAUUCAUCACUUUUUAGGCAUGGACUCGUCGAGUCUCCUGAUGGACUCGCCGAGUCUGAUGGCCAGACAGCACCAGAUUCGUUUUUUCAGCUUCUAUUGCAGGUAUAAAAAGAAAACAAGCCUAGGCUCUGAUACCACUGUUGGGUUUUGAGCAUUCUAACACUCCUAAGUGUACAUGCAACCCUAAAUACCUUGGAUCUAUGUUUUCUCUAUUAUACAUGCAAAUAAGAACUUCCAAGGUAUUAUCCUAAUCUAGCAUAUAAAACAAUGAAUAUAACAAGAUAGAAUACAUACCUCUUUGAUGUAGAAAGUCUUCAUGAAGCUUGAGUGCCUAGUGCCCCAAGUGUGACACCUCAAAUGGUUCACACAACACCAAAUACACUUGGAAUAACUUGAGAGAAUUCUACACUUCAUGAAAAUCGGCUAGCCCUCUCUAGAAUGAUACUAGUGGCCGAUUUUGUCAAGAAUAAGAUCUUUAUAUAGUGUUACAAUUAGGGUAAACCCUAAUUGUCAUGACUUUCCAUUUCCUUGGAUCCAUGGGUUCAAAUACACCAUGGAGCAUCCAUGGACCAUCCUAUGGGUUUUAGCCCAACUUGAUUAUCCAUGGAGCAUUAGCCCACUAUACAAGUAUGGAUGAUUUACACAAUCAACCCAUAUAUUUAAUUAGUCUUCUUUUGAUCACUUAAUUAAUCCUAGAUUAAUUCUUGAUCAAUACUAAUUAAAUAAUCUUAUUAUUCUUAUUAUUAAUAUACUAGAACUUAUAAUAUAUUAAUAACCAUAAGUGUCUUAUUUCUCUCAUUAUAGUCUAUCCAAGUGCAUGAUGCCAUGCAACCCAAAUGGACCAUGCCGGGUCGGGUCAAGUCUUACCAAAUAUAGUUAUGGACUUAGACAUUAAUCCAACAAUUACGAGUUCGUAGUGAUGCCUUUCGGACUCACCAACGCACCGACGGUGUUCAUGGAUCUCAUGAACAGGGAGUAUAGACCGAUGUUGGAUCGCUCAGUGAUCGUGUUCAUCGACGAAAUAUUGGUGUAUUCGAGAUCCAGAGAGCAGUAUGAAGAGCAUUUGAGGGAGAUCCUUGGAGUUCUGAGAUCGGAGAGGCUUUAUGCCAAGUUCUCCAAAUGUGAGUUCUGGCUACGAGAGGUCUAGUUUUUGGGGCAUGUCGUUAACCAGGAUGGGAUAUUGGUCGAUCCGGCCAAGAUUGAGGCGGUCAUGAGGUGGGAGGUGCCGAGAUCACCCACCGAGAUCAGGAGUUUUAUGGGUUUGGCCGGCUAUUAUCGGAGAUUUAUUAAGGAUUUCUCCAAGAUCGUCGUGCCACUCACCAAGUUGACCCAGAAAGGUGCUGCAUUUUCUUGGGGUCCGGAGCAGUAGACCUCAUUUGAGACACUCCGCCAGAAAUUAUGCGAAGCCCCAGUAUUAGACCUUCCGAAAGGGAUGUAGGAUUUUGUGGUAUAUUGUGAUCCAUCGAUACCCGGAUUGGGAGUGGUGCUUAUGUAGAGGGGGCAUGUGAUAGCAUAUGCAUCGAGGCAGUUUAAGCCUCAUGAGUCGAGGUAUCCCACUCAUGAUUUGGAACUGGGAGCGGUAGUGUUCACCCUCAAGAUUUGGCGACAUUAUCUGUAUGGGGUUCGGUGUACGAUAUACACGGACCACAAGAGCUUGAAGUAUUAGAUGGAUCAGCCCAAUCUGAAUAUGCGCCAAAGGAGGUGGUUGGAUGUGGUCAAGGAUUAUGAUUGUGAGAUCCUGUACCACCCGGGCAAGGCUAAUGUUGUAGCCGAUGCACUGAGCCGUAGGGCGGAGGGCACCCCAAUGCGAGAUGUUUGUUUGAGAUUGACAGUGAUAACCCCGGUGUUGGAUGCUAUUCAUGGGGCCCAGGCUAAGGUUGUGAGGCCAGAAAGCCAGAAGUGAGAGCGAGUUGUCAGGCUGGUAUCGGAAUUCGUUACCAAUAGCCGGUGUAACGCCUGUGUUUCGGGCUUGUCAUUUGUAGCAAUGUAGUAGUCUAGGUUGACCUUUGUAACCCAUUUUGAAGUAAUAAGAUUGUAUUAUUUGAGUAUUUUGUGUUUUGUGCUUAAUUGCUUAAUUAUGUGGUUUGAUUAAUUAAGAAUAAAAAUAAGCGUCAAAAUUUAAGUGUAAAAUAAACUUAAUAUCUUUGGUUAAUGUUGUAGUAAUUGAAACGAGGUUUCCGAAUAUAUAUAGAACGCCCAAAUCUGACUUCGUAUGAGGAAGUUAUGAUUUAUCGAAGUUCCGGCUUAGCGAUAUACAGCCUGUUUUACUCGAUUUGAGAUCGAGCGUUUGUUAGCCGAAGCAAUCUAAAUGAGAAUCGAAGAUCUCAUUGUUGGUAUUGAAACGAUAAAAAGUUAGGCGAGAACGGACGUCAAACGAAGAAGUUAUGAAUUUAUAACGAAAGUUUCUGUCCCGGCCUAUUAAAAAUAAUUAAUAAAAAUAAAGUCAAAAUUAGCCGACGGAGUCUAAACGAAAGUCGUAGAGCAUGGUCUCACCUUCGCGUGGAUAUAAAGAACGUCGAAAACGGAGUUCGUAUGAAGAAGUUAUGAAUUUCCGAAGUUUAUUAAUCAUUUUAUAUUUAUUUUUAAUUCAAAAUCGGAAGCAUUAUCCGAAGCCGAGUCACCGGUGUGAUCCGGAGUACGCCCCGCGUACGAGGUUACGCUACCGCGUACUCAGCAUAGUGUCGACACUUCGGAUGACGCAUGCAAUGACGAUUUCGGACGCGUACGCGCUGCGUACGCCUGUACGCCCCGCGUACUCCGAGGCUCCAGCCUCUAUAUAAAGGAUCCGAAGACAGCCUUCUUUGUUGUUCAUUUUCUUCUCUUCUCUCUAGUCUUUUGCAUCGUUUUUCGUGCCGAAGCUAUCCCGAAGCCCCGGUAUUAUACUCUAGCCCCGAGGCAAGUCCCGAGAUCCCGAAGAUCCCGAAAAGUGCGGUUCCCGAGUCGAAGCUCUGCCCGCGAGAAGUUCGAUUUUCGAGGAGAUCUUCCAGAUCUGCUGUGGAUUACUACUUCUAUAAGCCGUAGUGCUGUCCGAUCAUCUUCUGAUCAAGUGAGUGUGUAGUUAUUUCUUCUAAUACAAUAAUACGAAGUAUUUUAUAUAAAAAUACGUGCUAUGUGUAUAUAUUUGGUUGUGUUAUGUGUGAAUGAGUAUUCACUCUCUUCUAUCUUAUAGAUCUGCUUAUUUCUUUAUGAGAUAUGUGUUAUGUGUGUGUGUGCCUCAUCUGUUAUGUGAUAUAUGUGUUGAUUAAAGCAUGCUAUACAGGUUUUCUUUAAACUAUGUAUACAAAUGUAUAUUUUUAUCUACUAAUAUGUUGGGUAGAACAUGGGUAGACAGUUGGUGUGUAAUAAACAGAUGAGAGGCCUCGUUGUUGUUUGAUUGAGUCAUCUAGCGGAGUUUAGAUGACGACCACUGGCUAUUCUAGACAGUCUUGUGGAAACAUUAGCAGGUUCGCCACCUGUAGGUGUUAAUGAACUUGGGUGUUCAUUCGCUGUACUCCAUCCCCCUCAUGGUUGCCUUAUUUGACUUAUAUUGCUGAGGUACCCCCGAAGCAUGUGUUGUCGCCCCGAUGAAAUAUUCUUAGACUAGGUCCCUUAUGUUAGUUGUUUUAGGGACAUUAAAGUGAGAAUAACGGGAAUGGGUAAUUGGGUUAUUGUUGGUUGGUGAAAAUUAAAUAUGAUAUUUAUUGUGGGUUGAAAACCCUAUAUGCUCACCAGGCUCCCAAGCCUGACCCACUCAGUUUUAAAUUGUAUUACAGGUAGUGGCGGAAGGGCAUGAGAUGGAUGAACCAUCAAGUUGUUUUGUUUACAAGUCUGCAUAUGUUUAUAUUUGUUAUAUGACUUGUAAUGUAUUCGUUUAUGCUUAUUGGUCUGUAUCGGAACAUGACACCCCGAGUUUUGAUUAUAAUGAAAAUACAUUUCUUUUAUGAAAUGCUUCGGUAAACAAUGUUUUAUCAUGUUUUGUUUUUGGGAACAAAUUCCGCAACUCUUUCAAAUCAAAAGGAUUUACUCUGAAAAUAUUUAAAAGCAUAAAUGAAAAUCGGUCUUUUCUGGCCGAGAUUUUGGGGAUGUCAUAGCCGGGGGCUUAUGAAAUUUCAGGGUCAGAUAUGGGUACUGUCCAUGGGCGGAAUGUGUACCAUUUUGAUGGAAGAGGCUCAUCGAUCGAAAUUCUCGAUCCAUCCCGGGGCCACUAAGAUGUAUUUGGACCUGAAAAAGGAAUAUUGGUGGCCCGGUAUGAAGAGGGAUGUCGCAUGGUUUGUAGAGAGAUGCUUCACCUGUCGCAGGGUUAAGGCCGAGCACCAGCUUCCACAUGGUAAGCUGCAACCAUUAGAGGUUCCCGAGUGGAAAUGGGAACAUAUUACCAUGGAUUUCAUCACCAAAUUGCCAAGGACCGCGAGGGGUGUCGAUGCAAUUUGGGUGAUUGUGGACAGGUUGAACGAAGAGCGCUCAUUUCCUUGCUUUCAGUGAGAGCUCUUCCGCGGAAAGGUUGGUAGAGAUGUACGUGAGAGAGGUGGUAUCGCGGCACGGAGUGCCGAUCUCGAUUGUCUCAGAUCGAGAUGUACGAUUCACUUCCAGAUUCUAUAAGAAGAUUCAUGAGGAAUUGGCUACGAGACUGCAUUUUAGUACCGCAUACCACCCAUAGACUAACGGGCAGAGUGAGCGGACGAUUCAGACGCUCGAGGACAUGCUCCGAGCAUGUGUGUUGGAUUUCGGCGGGAGUUGGGACACGUAUUUGCCCUUGGCAGAGUUUUCUUACAACAACAGCCAUCAUUCGAGCAUUGGCAUGGCGCCCUUUGAGCUGUUGUAUGGGAGGAGGUGUCGAACCCCCAUUUGAUGGGGAGAAGUAGGGCAGCAUGUGACGGGUAGCACCGAGAUCAUGCUUCAAAUGACAGAACAGAUUCAGCAGGUCAGACAGAGGUUGUUGACCACUCAGAGUCGUCAUAAGAGUUAUGCGGACAGACGCCGGUCCGAGCUCGAGUUUCAGGUCGGCGACUUCGUGCUCCUAAAGGUCCCUCCUUGGAAAGGAGUGAUUCGAUUUAGGAAGAGGGGAAAGUUGGGGCCCCGAUAUAUUGGUCCUUUCAGGGUGAUCACGAGGGUAGGCAGGGUAGCCUAUCGUUUGGACUUACCACCAGAGUUAGGUCAGAUUCAUGACACCUUCCACGUGUCGAAGCUGCGAAAAUGUAUAGCCGACGAGUCGGCAGUGGUGCCAUUAGAAGAUAUUCAGGUGGAUGCGAGCCUGAAUUAUGUUGCGAGACCAGUGACGAUUAGGGAUCAGAAGAUCAAGGUUUUGAGGAACAAGUAGGUGCCUCUGGUUCAGGUCCAGUGGCAGCAUCGAAAAGGGUUAGAGUUUAUUGGGAGCCGGAGCGUGAGAUGCGGGAGCAGCAUCCAGAGUGAGACUUUGAGGGCGAAGUCUGAUUCUAGUGGGGGAGAAUUGUAACAUCCAGGAGACUCGGCGAGUUGGUGUUUAAACUCGCCGUGUAUGGUCACGGAUUCGUGUCCGAGUUCACAGCUGGACUCGGCGAGUUCAUGAGUGGACUCGGCGAGUCCACGCUGUUUAAAGAAACCCUAAUUUCCAGGGUUUGAGACCUAUUUAAAGGCCCUUAGGGCAAUCAUUUGCGGCCACCAAACCCCAAAGAGAAACCCUAAGAGAUCUAGAGCGUUUGUGAGGAAGGAGAAGCCAUUCUUGAUCCUUUUGUUGGUGAUUUUGCAAGAAGAAUGUGACCAAGGCAAGAGGAGGCUAAAGGACGUGCGAUUUUGGUGAUUUCUGAGUUCAUCGAGAUCAUAUUAAAGUAUUUUGCUCGUACCUUCUUCAGUUUUGGUGUUGAUUCUUAGUGUUAGGGUUUUCUAACCCUUCUAGAGGUUGGAUAAGUGGAUCAUUUGGUCCCUUCUCGAGUCUAUGUUUUGGAUCUGGACCCAAAGAGGUCCAGAGACCUUAAUCCUUGGAGCUUUAUGAGUCAUUUUGGGAGCCAUGAGCUUGGGAUGUCAUUUUUGGGGCUAAAUCACCAUGUUAGACCAUUUAGAUGUUAUAUAAGUGUCAAGGUCUGAACUUUACGUGAUUAUCAUGCUUGGGAAGGCCAUAUCUAUGAAUGUAAGGAACAGAUCUGACCUCAGGAGGUCUAUGGAGUUUGUGCAUGGUAUGAAAUCGCCGAGUCCGAAGAGCAGACUCGGCGAGUAGGAUGAGGGUUUCCCGUAAAGCACUCAGUGAGUAGACUUGCCGAUUUGGGGAAUAACUCGGUGAGUCAGGGAGAGUUGGGGGGACUGGAGGUCAAGGCGGAACUCGCCGAGUUGUUCUUGAGACUCAGCGAGUUGAGUCGGGGUGGCCCCGCGAUUCAUGCCAGGUGUGACUCAUCGAGAAAGGGGAGGAACUCGACGUGCCAAGCGAGACUAAAGAGUUAGUGGACAUGUGUAGACUCGUCGAGUCGCCCAAGUGCACUCGACGAGUCGGGUCAAAGUUUGACCGGUGACUUUUGUUGACUUUUAGGGUUGGGUAUAGUUGUAUUUAUGAGAGUAUUUACUUCGUGUGACUAGGCGGAGGGUAGAUCACAUUUCUACCGAGUCAGAAACUUACCGAGACACCUGAGGUGAGUCUUCUCACUAUACGUUACCUAGAGUGGUAUUAUGUGAUGAUUAGAUGGGUCUUAUGUGUUAUGUAUGAGAUUAUGUUCUAUGUGAUAUAUGUAUGCUGUAUGAUGAUAUAGACCAGACCGGAGGGUCCAACGAGCUAUGACCGGACCAGAGGGUCCAAGGAGCUACGGGACUGGAGGGUCCCGUUGAGACACAUCGACCAGAGGGUCGUACAUUGACCUCGAGUGGCGUAUGUGUUGUAUGCGGUAUUUUGGGGAACUCACUAAGCAUUUAUGCUUAUAGUUGUUGUGUUAUGUGUUUCAGGUACUAGUGAUGAACGCGGGAAGGCGCCGACAUGAUUCGUACACACGCACAUUGGAGUUAUAUAUAUUCUGACCUUGGGGUUUUGUACUGAUACAAUGUUGAUACAAUGUUUUUAAAAUGAAUGUGAAUGAUAUUUUAUGGUUUUAUCAAAAGUGAAAAAUUGUUCAAAUUUUAAGGUGUUACAUUAGUUGUGUUGUGCUAUAUAAUAUUUACUGUUUUAUUGUAAAGGGUACAUCGGAUUAAUUGAUGGAUAUUUUAAUAUUUAGGUUUACAAUUAUGUGAUGCCUAUUUUGGCUGAGCAGUUCCGGAUAAUGGGGAGUACACGGGUGUUGUUGAUAGUGCCAAAGAGUUGUUGCGGGCUGUUGAUGUUGUUCACUGACUUACAACAAAUAACAUCACAUUCCAAUGUGAAGUUCGACGUCAUUCUAUUAAAGGUGCAUAGGCAAUAGGCCAUGAAGAGGAUGAGGAUCGACAAAGAUAUUGCACGUUUUGUCGUUGGUAUGUAGAGUAUGGUAGGUUUUGUAUAUUUUUUAAAAAUAUUAAUGGUUGAUAAUAGAAUGGACAUUGAAUAUUAUUGUUCUUAUUGUAUUGUAUAUGAAGUUGUAUAGUACUACUAUAAUUUUAUUUUGGUUUUGUGUUUACAUCGUUCUAUUAAACGGGCAUUUUAGUCAUUUUUGCUUGCUAUGUUGUUUGAGUAGGAUGAAGUAUACGUAAAACCCAUGUUAUUUUUGUGAUGAAGUAUAGUUAAUAUAAUUAAAAAUAAGUUUUUAAUGAAUUUGUUAUUAAGGAAAAUAAUCUACAUAGAUUAUAUAUACUUUAACAUGCCCGGUUAAUGUAAUUAAAAAUAACUUUGUAAUGAAUUCGUUGUUAAUUAUUCCUUAUAUACUAUGUUUUCAAGAAAUUAUACACAACUUGAUUAGCACAACUGGCUUAACCGCGCCCUUUUCUAGCAUAAGCUUAAGUUCGAGUCUGCUUGCCAGCAAUAUCUACUUUAUAAUUCAUUUUUACAUUUUUUAGCCAUUAGUUUAUGCCACAUACUACCAACUCAAAAACCUUUCAUUCAAACCAUAUCUUACAAAUUCCAAUGAUCAUAAUAAUAAUUCAUCCAUAGUAUAACAAAAUUAAUUAAGCAACAUCCCAAAAAAUACCGUCACAAAUUAGCUACGCGUUUUGUUCCAUAAAAAAACAAGCAAACAAAAUCAUACUCCAUAGUAGAAUUCCCUAGCAAAUACCUACAAAUGGUACUUCCAUAGAAAUUUUACUAUAGAAUUGGUUUCCAUCACAAACUUAGUUGCAUAGUAACCACAAUGAUGAAUUCCAUCGCUGCAGUACAACGGAAAGUGAUUUGGUAACAAAUGUCGUUGGAAAAUUGCUACGAUUUUUUGUUCCAUAGAACUAUCUGUGACAUCCCCAUUUUCACGGCCAGAAAAGACCGAUUUUGUUUAUGCUUUAUAAAAAUCAGAGUGUCCCUUUUAAUAAAAAUGUCGCGGAAUUUGUUCCCAGAAAAAUACGAUAAAUACAUUAUCAAAACAUUUUUGAAGAAACGUAUUUUAUUCAUUUUAAAAUGUUUGGGAUGUCAUCGUCAAUACAGGAACAUAAGCAUAAACGGAACUUACAUUUAUUCACACUAGUGAUCUACAUCUCUUUAAAUCUCUCAGUGUAAUGUGACUUCAUAGCAACACCUGCGAUAUAAAUAAACUGAGUGGGUCAGGUUGGGAAACCUGGUGAGUACACAGGGUUUUCUACCCACAAUAAUAUAAUUAUUAUGUUUAAACAAUCAAACAAUUAAACCCCAUUACCCAUCCCCAUUAUAUUCUCUAUUCUUAAGGAUCUACCCUAAGAAUCAGUUUAUUCCUCGUUCAUUCGUUCCUAAGGAUCAUCCAAAGGAAUCGGCAUGAAGUCUAUCGUUGCCAUGGUUCACACAAUGGGCACUAAGUCUGCAUAGUCGCCAGGGUUUAGGCACUAAGUCUACAUAGUCGCCAGGGUUUAGGCAUCAAGUCUGCAUGAUCACCAAGGUUUAGGCACAAGGUCUGCAUGGUCACCAAGGUUUAGAGUACACUGGGUGAACACGUCAUUCACAACACCUACAGGUUGCGAGCCUGCUAGUGUUCCACUGGAUUGUCUACAAUAGUCCGUGCUUGUCAUCCAUACUCUGCUGAAUGACGGGGACAUCAUUUGGGAAAAAAGGCUUCUCACAUCGUAUACCUCUCACCCAUACCUCAAGGUCUAUAUCACCUCUCAACUCAUCGUUCAAAUCAGAUUUCAUCUAUUAUAUCUACCCAUGUUUUACCCCAACAUUUUCGUAGAUAUAAAAUACAUAUAUAGUUUAAAUCAUUUAAAACAUGUAUAAAAUCUUUCACCGAGCAUAGACAGCAAGUAAACAGACAAUAUGCACAAAUAGCACGUAGUAAAUACUUCAUAUCUAUGUGUAAGUUGAAGGGGACCAUGCACUCACCUGAAAGGUGGUGACUCAGCACUCGGACAGCGCUUCGAUACUCUCAAAACAAUUAUCCCUUGAUGAAACCUAGUAUCAAUACCACUAGGGUAUAGUCUAACGAUAACCGCAACAAAUUAAUAGUCUAGCUAUUAUUAUUAUUAUAUAAGCGUUAAAUAAUACUCAAUAUAACUCAUAAUAAUAGCCCAAAUACUCAUUAUAAGUUCCUAAUAACGUUACUAUAUUAAAACAUAAGCUAUACUAAAGAUAGAGUAGGCAUAGCUCACUUACAGCGGAUUUUCUCGAAAACUGGGAUUCGCUGGAGCAGCGUUUCCAAGCCGAAAGGCUCUUUUCUCGGGACUCCCGGAGUCUCGGGGCUUCCUUCGGGUGCUAGGGGGUUUACCUAGGCUUUAGGGGGGGUUUGGAAGGCUAGAGAGAGAAAGUGAGUUUGGGAGGUGUGAAGAAGAGGCUAGACCCGGCACCUCUAUUUAUAGUGAAAAUAUCUAAUGGACUCGCCGAGUAGGGGGACCUACUCGCCAAGUUGGUGCAUGUGGUGGCCUUCUGGUGGUGCCACGUGUCCAAUUCUGGUGGUGCCACGUCACCCCUAUCGCGCAUCAGCCUUCAAACUUAGAAAAAUCAUAACUCUCGCAUACGAGCUCCGUUUUCGACGUUUCUUUUUUCAACGCGUAGGUAAAAUCAAGAUCUACAACUUUCAUUAAUACUUCGUCGGCUAAUUCUCGACCGAUCUCAGAUUUAAUAGUAGGAGGCGUUUAGACUGUUAAAUGACCGCGAAGAAUUCAUAACCCUUCAUACGGACUCCGUUUUCGUCUAUCUUUUUACCAUCGAGUUCCUAUUAAUGAGAUCUUCAACUCUCAUUUAAGUCGCCUAAGCCAAAAACUGCUUGAACUAAAAUUCGAGUUUCGGGUCGUGCACUACUAAGCCGAAUCUUAGAAAAAUCAUAACUUCUUCAUACGAAGUCAGAUUCGGGCGUUCUUUUUAUGGAUUUUCUCGGUUUAACAUAUUCUAAGACUUUCAUUUAGAUCACUAAGGCUAAAAAGUCCUCCAUCAUAAAUUCACUAUUUGCGUCUCCCGGUGUCGUGCCGGUUUUGCCGUAAAACUUCGGCGGGUCAUAACUUCUUCGUUAUAACUCGGAUUUCGGCGUUCCUUAUAUGUACGGAAACCUUGAGACAUAUUCUACAACUUGGUUAAGACUAUUUAUUAUAAAUAAUCUUUUCCCAAAAAGUCUUUUUCGACAUUUAUCGCCUCUAAAUUGACUAGCCCGGAUCUACGUGCGUUACAAUUAUCUCCCCCUUAGGAUGAUAACGUCCCGGAAUCAUUAACGAAACAGGGCAGUAUAAUGACUCCAAACGUUAUCUCUUCAUUCUAGGUAAUAAUCAUAACUUCCUUGUUUCUUCGAAUGAGUAUAUAACUCUUGGACUCCUUGACUUUAGGCGGUGCUCGAUCUUGCACCUGCUCGUUAGACUUUCAAUCAUGACCUUCGUGUCACAACCUCAUUCUUUAUCAGAGACUCCUUCUUCUUCUUAACAAAACUUAGGAUAAGUUAAUUUGAUUACUACAAUUGACCGAUGUGUCAUUUUCUAAUGACCUAUCAUCGUAUGUAGCAAUGCUUAGACUCAGGUCUCUUAGAGUCAAAUUCCGGAAUGGAAUAUGCCUUCCUUCAUGGUCUAAUGUGAUAUAAUCAUAUUUUAACAUGUAGCAUUUCUAGCUACCAACUUCUUUUAACAACGAGUGUGAUACUUCUAUUGAUCGCUUUGAUUUCAAUUGUUUGGUUUAAGUCGGACGCUACAUCAAACUUGGUUCUCCGAACCACGUAACAUACUUAUCAUAGUCGGACUCAAUUCGAUAUGACCACUAGGGUCGGAAUAACAGUCAUCCUCUUAGUCAUUACCGAAACGAUGGUAACGACAUGCUUGAAUAAAACGAAAUCAUUUACUAGCUUCGUGGUAACCUUGUGACUUUCCCUAAUCCAAGCGUGAGUCGUGUGCUUCCGGUAGUAUAUGCAUCUACUACCUUUCACACCUACUCAUACUUGUCCCAAGUAUUGUCUCGCAGUUUUCCAAGUCACCAUACAAGAAAAUCACAUAACAGUUUAACACAUCAGAUAACAAAACGAAGGCGUUAUUAUUUCUUGAAACGAUUACAUAGGUGUUCAAGUUCACCCUAGACUAUGCCUUUAAUAGGCUACAUCAUACGAUACUAUGGCUACUGCAUAACUUGAUCUUCGAAUAUGAAGUCCUCAUCCUUGAUUCCUCGCAUGGUUUUCUGCAUCGUCGAUGAUCAUGUGGAAUGCCCUUGGCCUUGGUGGCGUGUUUGCCCUUGCUGCAUCGUUUUUCUUUGGGCAGUCCCUAGAGAUAUGCCCUUCUUUGUUACAUCCACAACACACCUUCUUGUUGGACGUACACUUGCUGGCAUAAUGCCCUGUCUUUCCAAAUUUGUAUCAAGUCACCUCCUCGCCACAUUUCCCGAAGUGCUUCUUUUUACACUUCUCGCACCACUUGGAUUCACCUCCUCCUCCUCCUUCUUCCGUUUUUGAGAAUUUCCUUUCUUUGUUGGAUUUUGAAGAUCCUUCAUGCUUCCUUUUUUCUCCUGUUUUGUCUUUUUCUAGACCCCUUUCUCUUAUCUGGGUCUCUACAUUCUUAGCUGCUCUAACAGCUGUUUUCAAGGUAGUUGCCAUUUUGACCAUUGGGCCGAAGUCUGUGGGCAGUCUAUUAGCAAACCUAUCGAUCUUUGAGAGUUCAGUAGGCACCAAGUAGGGGAAUAGCUUCAUCCUCUCGGUGAAUGCGGUGGCAUACUCAUCAACACUCAUCUUCCCUUUCUUCAGGUUUUGAAACUCGUUGUUUAGGUCUAUCAGAUCUAUCUCUGAGCAGUACUGCAUUUUCAACUGUUCCAAGAACUCUUCCCAUGACAUCCUUAGGGCUUCUCCUUGUGGCAUCGUAUCUGCCAAUAGCUUCCACCAGCUCAAGACUCUAGUUUUUAGUUGUCUUACUGUGAAGACAGUCUUCUGUUUCUCGCUACAUCUGCAGCUCUCAAACACCAUCUCCAUCUCAGAGAUCCAAUCCAUAAUCUCAACCGGCUUCGGGAUUCCUGAGAGACUCGGUGGUUUUGCACCCAAGAAAUUCUUGUACAUUCGCCCAUCCUUGUCGUUUCUCCCCUCUGGGCCAUCCCUUCAUUCACCUUGAGUCCCUACUUGACUCACUUGGCGGCUGUAGUUCCCUUCCUCCGAUUGCUCGGGAAUCAGUUCGGGUUGCUCAAUGGGCAUAGUAGGUUCGUCCCUAUUCAACAUUUGCCUCAUUUCUCCCCUUUGUUCAGCUAAAAUAGCCCGAAUCAUGGCUUGAACUUCAGCCAUGGUGACUGGCUCAGGUGCAACUUCUUCUACAACAGGUAUUUGCUGAGCCACUGGGGAUUGGUUCCUAUUCUCAUUUGCAUUCACGUUUCCGCUAUGGGUUCUUGCCAUUUUGAUCUAUACACNUGGGUCAUUGCCAUCUUGAUCUAUACACCAAAUAAGGUGAAUCUAGACCUUUAUUUAGGAUUGAUGUUUAAAUCACCCUUAUCACUCCGAAACUUUUAUAUGCCAGUUCUAAUAUCGUAUUCGUACGUUUAGAAUCCUAAACACAUAAGGUUUCUAGAUCCGGUCGGCAACAAACCAUAGAUCCGAUCAAACUAUAGCAUAACCAAUCAUUUAGCACAUAAAAGCGAUUUAGGCAUCAUUCCUAAAAUAAGCUAGUGCUCACACCUCACAAUCAUCGCUUAGCAUUCUAAGUUUAAGUCUAGAAAUUUCCUACAAAUUCCUAGUUCGCUUAAACUAAUGCUCUGAUACCAACUGUGACAUCCCCAUUUUCACGGCCAUAAAAGACCAAUUUUNUUUAUGCUUUAUAAAAAUCAGAGUGCCUCUUUUAAUAAAAAUAUUGCGGAAUUUGUUCGCAGAAAAAUACGAUAAAUACAUUAACAAAACAUUUUCGAAGAAACGUAUUUUAUUCAUUUUAAAACAUUUGGGAUGUCAUCAUCAAUAUAGGAACAUAAGCAUCAACGGAAUUUACACUUAUUCACACUGGUGAUCUACAUCUCUUUAAAUCUCUCAGUGUAAUGUGACUUCAUAUCAACACAUGUGAUAUAAAUAAACUGAGUGGGUCAGGUUGGGAAACCUGGUGAGUACACAGGGUUUUCAACCCACAAUAAUAUAAUUAUUAUGUUUAAAUAAUCAAGCAAUUAAACCCCAUUACCCAUCCCCAUUAUAUUCUCUAUUCUUAAGGAUCUAACCUAAGAAUCAAUUUAUUCCUCGUUCAUUCGUUCCUAAGGAUCAUCCAAAGGGAUCGGCACGAAGUCCAUCGUUGCCAUGGUUUACACAACGGGCACUAAGUCUACAUAGUCGCCAGGGUUUAGGCACUAAGUCUGCAUAGUCGCCAGGGUUUAGGCAUCAAGUCUGCAUGAUCACCAAGGUUUAGGCACCAAGUCUGCAUGGUCACCAAGGUUUAGAGUACACCGGGUGAACACAUCGUUCACAACACCUACAGGUUGCGAGCCUGCUAGUGUUCCACUGGACUGUCUAGAAUAGUCCGUGGUUGUCAUCCAUACUCUGCUGAAUGACGAGGACAUCGUUUGGGAAAAAGGCUUCUACAAUCGUACACCUCUCACUCAUACCUCAUGGUCUAUAUCACCUCUCAACUCAUCCUCCAAAACAGAUUUCAUUUAUUAUAUCUACCCAUGUUUUACCCCAACAUUUUCGUAGAUAUAAAAUACAUAUAUAGUUUAAAUCAUUUCAAACAUGUAUAAAAUCUUUCACCGAGCAUAGACAGCAAGUAAACAGACAAUAUGCACACAUAGCACGUAGUAAAUACUUCAUAUCUAUGUGUAAGUUGAAGGGGACCAUGCACUCACCUGAAAGGUGGUGACUCAGCACUCGGACAACGCUUCGAUACUCUCAAAACAAUUUUCCUUCGAUAAAACCUAAUACCAAUACCACUAGGGUUUAGUCUAACGAUAACCGCGACAAAUUAAUAGUCUAGCUAUUAUUAUUAUUAUUAUAUAAGCAUUAAAUAACACUCAAAAUAACUCAUAAUAAUAGCCCAAAUACUCAUUAUAAGUUCCUAAUAACGUUAUUAUAUUAAAACAUAAGCUAUACUAAAGAUAGGGUAGGCAUAGCUCACUUACAGCGGGUUUUCUCAAAAACCGGGCUUCGCUGGAGCAGUGUUCCCGAGCCGAAAGGCUCUUUUCUCGGGACUCUGGGAGCAUCGGGGCUUCCUUCGGGUGCUAGGGGGUUUACCUAGGCUUUAGGGGGGUUUAGGAGGCUAGACAGAGAAACUAGACAGAGAAAGUGAGUUUGGGAGGUGUGAAGAAAAGGCUAGACCUAGCACCUCUAUUUAUAGUGAAAAUAUCUGAUGGACUCGCCGAGUAGGGGGACCUACUCGCUGAGUUGGUGCAUGUGGUGAUCUUCUGGUGGUGCCACGUGUCCAAUUUUGGUGGUGCCACGUCACCCCUAUCACGUAUCAGCCUUCAAACUUAGAAAAAAUCUAACUCUCGCAUACGAGCUCCGUUUUCGACGUUUCUUAUAUCCACGUGUAGGUAAAAUCAAGAUCUACAACUUUCAUUAAUACUUCGUCGGCUAAUUCUCGACCGAUCCCAGAUUUAACAGUAGGAGGCGUUUAGACUGUUAAAUGACCGCGAAGAAUUCAUAACCCUUCAUACGGACUCUGUUUUCAUCUAUCUUUUUACCGUCGAGUUCCUAUUAAUGAGAUCUUCAACUCUCAUUUAAGUCGCCUAAGCCAAAAACUGCUUGAACUAAAAUUCAAGUUUCGGGUCGUGCACUACUAAGCCGAAUCUUAGAAAAAUCAUAACUUCUUCAUACGAAGUCAGAUUCGGGCGUUCUUCUUAAGGAUUUUCUCGGUUUAACAUAUUCUACGACUUUCAUUUAGAUCACUAAGGCUAAAAAUUCCUCCAUCGUAAAUUCACUAUUUGCGUCUCCCGAUGCCGUGCCGGUUUUGCCGUAAAACUUCGACGGGUCAUAACUUCUUCGUUAUAACUCGGAUUUCGGCGUUUUUUAUAUGUACGGAAACCUUGAGACAUAUUCUAUAACUUGGUUAAGACUAUUUAUUAUAAAUAAUAUUUUGCCAAAAAGUCAUUUUCAACACUUAUCGCCUCUAAAUUGACUAGUCGGAUCCGCGGCGUUACACUAUCGGAAGAAUAAUACCAAUGGAUAUGGAGUCGGUAGCAUUUUUCCUAGAAACUCCCACUCUUGCUACCAUAAAUAAAAUCCGUAGACAAUGUGGUAGCAACAUUGCUACGGAACGACAUUCCAUAGCACGAUCCAUUGCAGAUUAACAACGAAAAUAUAUUCCAUAGCGAUCUUCCCUAGCAAAAUCAUGUUUUUCUUGUAGUGAGUGCUCCAGUAUUUUCUCUCCCAGAAGGGAUCGAAGAGUUUGUGGUCUACUGUGAUGGAUCCAAGCAGGGGCUAGGAUGUGUGAUCAUGCAAUGAGGAAUGGUCAUCGCUUAUGCCUCACGACAACUCAAGAAUCAUGAGGUCAAUUACACCAUGCACGACCUCGAACUGGGAGCAUUAGUAUUUUCCCUGAAAAUUUGGAGACACUACCUUUAUAGCAUAAAGUGCACCAUCUUCACAGACCAUAAAAGUCUUCAUCACAUUCUCAAUCAAAAGGAGCUUAACAUGAGAUAACGACGAUGGGUUGAACUAUUAAAUCACUAUGAAUGCGAAAUUUGUUAUCAUCCGGGCAAGGCCAACGUAGUAGCAAACGCCCUAAUUCGGAAAGAAUAAUCAAGUUGUCGAGUUAAAUCAUUGACCAUGACCAUCCAUUCACACCUAUCCACAUAGAACAAGGAGUCGUAGCUAGAAGCCCUAAAAACCGAGAACAUUGUAGGUGAGGCAUUGCAGGGAAUGGAUAAAAACUUAUAAGUCAAGGGUGACGAAGCUCGUUACUUCAUGGAUCGAAUCUGGACACCAAGAUUCAGCAGAUAUAGAGACGUUGUCAUGAACGAGGCUCACAAGACAAAAUACUAUGUUCAUCCCAGUUCAUACAAGAUGUAUUUGUACCUAAAGAAACUUUAUUGGUAGCCAAACAUGAAGGCAUAAAUUGCUACCUAUAUGGGCAAGUACUUGAUUUUUGCCAAGGUCAAGGUAGAAUAUUAAAAGCCCUCGGCUUUGCUUCAAUAACCAGACAUACUCGAGUGAAAGUGGGAGCGGAUAACCAUGAACAUCUAAACCAAGUUACCCAAUACAAUUGGUAGACUUGACACCAUCUGGGUGAUCGUUAACAGGCUAAACAAAUCCGCACCCUUCCUGCCAAUAAAAGAGACCAACAAGAUGGAGAAGUUAACCAGGAUGUACAUUAAAGAGAUCGUGUGACUACAUGGGGUGCCAAUAUCUAUCAUCUCCGGCAGAGAUUGUCGGUUCACCUCAUGGUUUUGGCAAUCACUACAAAAGUCCUUAGGGACCAAACUCGACAUGAGUACAGCUUAUCACCAUUAGACGGACAGGAACAGCGGAAGGACCAUUCAGACGUUGGAUGACAUGUUGAGAGCAUGUGUGAUAGACUUUGGUAAGGACUGGGAUACCCAUUUACCACUCAUUAAAUUCUCAUUCAAUAACAGCUGUCACACUAGCAUCAAGGUCGCACCAUUCGAAGCCCUCUACGGACGCAAGUGCAGAUUACCUAUAUGUUGGGCUAAAGUAGUUGAAACACAACUAGCAAGAGAACAAGUGCCUAAUAGCACUCUCACCGUCCUGGAGAGCAUACGAGUAACUACGGAGAAGAUCAUUCAAAUUCGUGAACGAUUAAAGGCAUCUCGGGAUAUGCAAAAGAACUAUGUUGAUAAGCGGCGAAAACCUUUGGAAUUCCAGGUUGGUGACUGCAUUCUGUUGAAGGUCUCACCCCGAAACGGAAUGAUACAUUUCAGAAAACGUGAGAAGCUAAAUCCAAGGUAUAUCGGAACAUUCGAGAUCCUUGCUAGAAUUAGUCUGGUAGCUUACAAACUCCGACUACCCCAAGAAAUCAGCAAUGUAGAUCCCACCUUCCACGUGUCCAACCUAAAUAAGUUUCUGUCUGAAGAAACUCUUGUAGUCCCACUCGACGAAAUCGAAGUAAACGAGCGUAUACACUUCGUAGAGGCACCUGUGGAAAUGAUGGUCAGGGAGAUUAAGAGAAUGAAACAAAGCAGUAUACCAAGGUCUGCUGGAACGCCAAGCGACGGCCUAGAUUCACUUGGGAGCAGGAAGACCAGAUGAAACAGAAAUACCCACAACUUUUCCUCUAGUUGCAAGAACCCGUCCAAGAUGCAAAUUUUGGGACGAAAUUCCCUCUAAUGGGGGGGAUGAUGUGACAACUGGAAAAUUUUGGAACAAGCAAGGUCUAAAUUGUAACUUUGUGUAAAUGAAUUCACAAUGUAACCUUGUUGCAAUAAAACUUUGAAAGCCAAAAGGGCAUUAUUUGUAUUAGUAUACAUAUACGUAUACAUAUUUUGAAAAUCAUGAUCGUAAUAAACAUUUAUAAGUCAAGGUAAGUCAACAAGUUAAAGCAGUAACCAUGAAUAAACCCUUGCAAUUAGAGAUUUCGACCUAGUACCCCACCAAACAAGGGAUUUCAGUUUUCCUAGGACCGAAAUCACCCUUAGUGGGUGAUUCAAAACCGAAAACACCAUGGGGGAAUACUUAGGACCGAAAUCACUUAGUCAAAGUGAAGAGUUGAAAACUCUUUUGAGAUCGUUUAGAUUCUUAACAAGUAAAACAGAAAGUAAACAAGGUAUGAACACAAGAUGAAUCAAACAGAUGUUGAGUGAUUAAAACUGCAACACCUCAGAAGAGCUCGACGAAGAACUUCUACUUUAGAGGUGUGUUAGGGUUACAGUACAAUCAAUGAAAUAAUUAUUAAACACCUUGUAAAAGACGAUGUGCAUGCACCAUAAAUACUAAACCCUAAUAUCAAAAACACAGAUGGACAGACCCAUACCGUGAUAAAAUUGGACUAACUAACGAAGCCCAAUGGCGCAACUUCCUAGACUCAACAAUCUCCCCCUUUUGCGUCAAUUGAGGCAAGAGAUCAUUUCGGUUGAGUAAGGAUGGAUUUCUUCAUAGUCUUGAACGGAAUCGGUAUGAUGGCGAGUAGAGUUUGUCGAAAGUCAAUGUACCACCGAAGCAUAUUCGGAAACAUCUUCUUAUCAACUUCACUGUUCUAAUUACACCUGCAAAUGAUGUUAAGAAUGUGCUCUAGACAAGAAAUGGAGAACAUGUGCUUGUCUUCACGAGCGAACAGGCACUUUUGGCCUUCGGCCCUGGUGAACAUAACAAUAUGAUACUUUAAGUCGAUCUUACCUAUCUGCAUCAUGUUCACGUCGCUUUCCUUGCCAAUUGGUUUAAUUGUAGGCUACUUUAUCAAUGCAUAGGCAAUCUCCUGAUCCAUCUUGGCCACUUCAAGAAUGUAACACACCAACAUUUGCUUGAUAUGAUCGAUGAUAGGCUCGUAUUGUUGUUGAUCAGUCAGCAAGAUGUUGUUCAGAAGAAUCCAGUCAUAAGGGUUUAAAUUUGGCAAAUCAACGAGAGAGAUCAUAUGAACCAAGUUGUCUGAGCCUCAGCUCACUUUUGAAUUUCACAUUAAUAAACUUCCCUGCUGAAGUUGGUUUCAAUACCUUGCUUGUCGUGAUCUUUUGUUUGCUCCAAGUCAAGUAUUGCGGUUGAGAGAAAGCGAGAUAGUAUUCAAUUAGAUCUCGAUCAACCAUCGGGUUUGGAGAGGGGAUAGCAACCAUUGACUCAAAGCAAUAAAAUAUGAACACCUUUCGGGUAAUCGGCAUGUCGAACAUAGAAUCUCUGGAAUUCUCAUGAUAAAAACAGAGGACCGGUUCGAGCCAAUGAGUGCUAGGAGACUCAAUUGCUUCUUUCAAAAGUUUUUCCGAUGACCACAGAGGAAAUAGAGAUUUUAUACAUUCCAAUGCAUCGUUCAGUUCUUUCAAUUUUCUUUCCCUCUCUGUUUCUUCUUCAUCUUUGUGAAGUUUUUCUUCAAGAUCUCGAUUAUUUUGCUUUCUUUUGAGAGCAUUUCCUUCAAUUUUUCCUUCAUCCUCAUCACCGAUUUCAAUUUCUUCUUCGGUUCCUUCUUCAUCAUUAUCACUGAUACUCUUUUUGCCUUUGUCCUUCAAACUAGAACCCGAAGCUUCAUUACCCUUCAGUUAAGUUGUGACUUUCGGUUGUGAAGUAGGUUUGCUUGUUGGAGGUUUUCUUGAUGGAGGUUAUUGUGGUUGACCCUAACCGUCUUCUCCCCCUUGUUUCGUAGGGACAACAGUCUCCGGAACACCUUCAAUAUGGCUCAGCAUGUCAAGAGUUGGUCUUAGCUUUUCAGCCAAGUGUCAUCGAAUGGUGAUAAUAAGGAACGAAUCAUGUGCUUCCAAGAGAUUACAGAGAAGAGAGUGCACAUCACUAACCUUGCUUUCGAUAAUAGCUCACUGAGUCUUGAGAUCAUCAAUUUCUUUGAGCGCCUGAGUGAGCUUCAAGGCCUGAGUCUUAACCUUCGUGGUUUUGAGGGCAAGUUCAUCCAUGACUUUGUUUUCCAAGGCAAGAUCAGCCUGGAGUUUAUAAAGAUGGGCAUGGAUUAAUGUUUGAAGCUCUGUGUUUUCAGAAUUUAGGCUUUGACGGGCUUCUUCAAAGUGCUUCUUCUCGGCUUGAAGCGAAGUGGUGAGAUUAUCAACAGAGGCAGUGAUUGUUUGAGCGUUCUUUUGUGCAGCAGCCUGAAGAGAAUCCAGAAACACAUUUGCAUCAGAAAUUAGUUUUUCGACAUUUUCGAUCGCCUUCUUUCAGUCUUUUGUGGAUUCUUCAACAGCAAUUGUUGCUUUCUGGAAAGAGGAGGUGGAAGCUUCAAUGUCUUUGGCAGCGUUGGAAAUGGAAGAGUCAUGUUCCUUGACAAAAGUAGCCAACAUUGCCUUGAUAGAGACCUCAGAGUAAGAUUCGCUUGGCGUUUGAGAAGAAGAAGAAAGUAACUUGUCAAGAUUCUCAUUAAGAUCCCUUAAAUGCCACUUCCUUAUAGAAGCAUCAUCAUCAUCAUCACUCUGAACUCUGUAAGGGCUAUAGUAGAAAGAAUCAAACUCCAUUUCUGCUCCGCCAAGAACGAUGUUAGUUUCGUGUGAGUGAGGUGGAGAUUGAGGUUUAGAGGUAAUGGGAAUUUCGGUUCCAGAAGUAGGUGCCCCCACAUCAGAUACGUUGACAUGAACUUGAGGUUCGGUUGUAGAAGUGGUGGUAAUGGUAACUUCGGUGAAUAAAGGGAUUGGGAUUGGUAUAGAAGUUGCGGUUGAAGAAGAGAUGGGAGGACGGAAUGGAGCAAUGGUGAUAGGAACAAAUUGAUUAGGAGAGGGAGGAGGUGAGGUUCGGUUACCUUGAUGAGCCGAUAAAGGAGGAGGCGAAUUACCUUGGAGCGAAUUCUCAUGUUGAGACUCUUCAUUAUCACUUGACUCUGGUUCGGGUUGUUGGUCAGAUGGAACAUAUUCAGAAUCACUUGAAGAAGGAGCCUUAGGCUUGUGUGCCUUCUUCUUGAUCUUUUGCUUCUUAGGAGCGGAAGGAGCUGCUUGUUCAGAUUUUCGCUUUUUAGGCGUAGAAACUUUUGAUGAAGGUCAUUCCUUCUUGCUUUUUCGUUCAGCCUUUUUCCCUCGUUUCUCUGGUUUAUCAGCAGCAUCCAGCGAGCUUUGCAUUUCAGGAGUGAGCUGCCUUGGUCUCGUAGGAGCAAGCUUCUUGUACUCGUUCAUCAGCUUGCUUUCCCCAUAAACACACUUGUACAUGGAUUCAGGAACCGAACCAAUGAAAAAAAAAAACUUUGUUGGAUCAGAAACAAUAUUUUUGUCGUUUAAAAAGUAGCGAUUGACGACAUCAACGAGUCUGCCAUUAUUGGAAUUUGGAACUUCCCCAUCGCCCACUGAGUAACUUGUUGGAUUAAUGUCUAAGUCCAUAACUAUAUUUGGUAAGACUUGACCCGACCCGGCAUGGUCCAUUUGGGUUGCAUACCAUCAUGCACUUGAAUGAGAGAAAUAAGACACUUAUGGUUAUUAAUAUAUUAUAAGUUCUAGUAUAUUAAUAAUAAGAAUAAUGAGAUUAUUUAAUUAGUAUUGAUCAAGAAUUAAUCUAGGAUUAAUUAAGUGAUCAAAAGAAGACUAAUUAAAUAUAUGGGUUGAUUGUGUAAAUCAUCCAUACUUGUAUAGUGGGCUAAUGCUCCAUGGAUAAUCAAGUUGGGCUAAAACCCAUAGGAUGGUCCAUGGAUGCUCCAUGGUGUAUUUGUACCCAUGGAUCCAAGGAAAUGGAAAGUCAUGACAAUUAGGGUUUGCCCUAAUUGUAACACUAUAUAAGCAUCAUAUUAUUCACCAAAAUCGGCACUAGUGGGUGUACUAGAAGGGCUAGCCGAUUUCAUGAAGUGUAGGUUUUCUCUCAAGUCAUUCCAUGUGUUUUGAUGAUUGUGAUUCCAUUUGAGGUGUCACACUUGGGGCACUAAGCACUCAAGCUUCAUGAAGACUUUCUACAUCAAAGAGGUAUGUAUUCUCUCUUGCUAUAGUUAUUGUUUUUGUAUGCUAGAUUAGGAUAAUACCUUGGAAGUUCUUAUUUGCAUGUAUAAUAGAGAAAACAUAGAUCCAAGGUAUUUAGGGUUGCAUGUACACUUAGGAGUGUUAGAAUGCUCAAAACCCAACAGUGGUAUCAGAGCCUAGGCUUGUUUUCUUGUUAUACCUGCAAUAGAAGCUGAAAAAACGAAUCUGGUGCUGUCUGGCCAUCAGACUCGGCGAGUCCAUCAGGAGACUCGACGAGUCCAUGCCUAAAAAGUGAUGAAUUCGAUCCAACUCGCCGAGUUUGUUCAUGCACUCGACGAGUUGGACCCCCAGACAGCAUAUUUUCGAGUUUUUUGGCUAGAAAUGGACUAGGAACAUUACCCUAAGUUGUUUUUGAACUUAUAAACUUGUUUUUGAUGUGGUAAUGUUCAUGCUAAUCCAUUUUCAAAGAUAAUUGUCAAUAGAUUCAUGUUUUGUAUUAGUUUAAGGUUUAGACUAAUUACAUGAAAAAGUUUGAUUUGAAUUAUCUUGUUCUUAUGAGUUGCUUAGAUUAAUAGAAAUGUUGAGUGAAAUAGUUGUUUUCAAUCCAUUUUAAUCUAAGAGUUGAGUAUAAAAUGUGUUUGUGUAACUUGUCCUCAAGUUACAUGAAGAGUCACAUUAAAGACUCAUAAAACUCAUAAUAGUUGGCAAUGGUUACAAAAUGAAGAGUCUUGUGUCAUUGAAUAAUUUUUUUUGACUCCAUAACUUGUCCUCAAGUUAUGGAAGUUCAAGAGUCACUUCAUUAAAGAAAAAUAUGUAACCAUAAUUAAAUCCAUAAGUUAUAAAAUAAAGAAAAAGUUAGUUCUUUUAUUAGUUUAAAGUCUUCCAUAACUUGUCCUCAAGUUAUGGAACUUGAAGAGUUUUUGGAUUAAAACUACUUUAAACACAUAAGUUAUGGAAUUAAUUAGUUUUGAAUAGUUUCAAAACUUGCCCUCAAGUUUUGGAAUUUGAAAAGUUUUCAAGUAUGAAUACUUUAAUUCCAAGUUAGCCCUUAGAAUUUUAAAAGUUAAAAUUCAACCCUUAUACUUUAUAAUAUUAUAAGUUAAUAAUAUAUAUAUGUAUAAGAGUAAAGUCAGUCUUACCGCUAGUACGCCUCAUUCACGAAGCCGGUCUAUAAGGUGGGUAUAAGGUUGUUGCCUAUAAAAUGGCAACUUAAUGGGUGUCCACUCUCACCCACCGCUUGCUUGACUGGUGGAGGGUCGUUAGCCGAACGGGUUUGACAGGACUAGAAUUCUCCCUUCAUUAAAAGUAUUAAUGAUAAUACUAAGUAACUAAACUCUUAAUAAUACCCAAUCUUAGUUACUUAGGAAAAAUGUGAAUAAGGUGCUAAUCCAUGAAAUUACACUUUACACUUUGUCUAAGUCGUUAGUGGAGCGUGUGUGGUUAACCGGCACACUAACUUGGACUUAACAAGGUAGGUAAAGGGUGACUUAAUAUUUAUCAUAGUAUCGAUGGAGCGUGUGUGGUUAACCGGCACAUCGAUUGAGGGGUAAUUUAUUAAGGGUACCAAGUGAUUUGCAUGGUUACUUCACACCUUGUUUUGUGAUCCUCGGCAUCCCAGUCACAAAACCUGAAGGGCACACUCGAGAUUGAAACAUGCCUUUGAAAAGUUCAAUGAAUCUCAAAGAUCUAGGAGUUUCAAAACCAAUUAAAACCUAAUAAUACAUUUCGUUUAUCUUGGUGGAAAUUGGUGAAUCGUCAUUCACCUACCUUCAAAUAUUUUAUAGCUUGGAUUACGGCAUACCUCUUCUAAGUUAUAAAAUAGUUUGUUGGGUCCUAGCCUUAAUAUUUCAUAUUGGGUGUCAUAUUAAGGACUUUAAAUCAACUAUCUUGAAUAUCUCCCAAAAGAUGUCUGGUUUAGACACCUAUGAUCUUCCCAAAUCUCUUGAAACAAGGUUUCCUAAUGAAGAUGAUGUCCCAUGGAUAUCAUACUUCUUCACCUCUUCAAAUUAUUCUCCCUAACCCACAAGUUCUUGAAAAGUUUAAGGUCACUCAGGCCCUAUUGGCAAGGCAAGGUCUAGGUGUGGUCACAUCUUGGAGAUGUAGUCACAUAUUGACAAGCCGGGAGAGUUGGGUGUCAA